rnacentral:lncRNA from 1 species
GUUUUCUUUCUUAAUUGAAAGUGGCAUGUACUAGGUGUUGUAUAAGUUAUAUAGAUGUACUUGUAAAGUUAGUUAUAAGAAUGGUAUACCAUAUUUUGUUAUUAGUUUGAUAAAAUGGUAAAUAUUAUAAUAUAUAAUUUGGUAUAAGUUGGAAUGAAAAAAAUGAAUGAAGUUAUUAGUUAAUUUGGAUUAAUAUUAUGAAUGUUUAGUUAUUAAAUGACUAUGUUAAUGAAUUGGUUAUGAUUUAGAUAUAUUUAGGUUUAAAUUGUUUUUGAUUGUGUCAUUGGUUUUGGAUUAGGUGGUUUUUGGUUUGAAUUUGCAGGGGGUUUUAUGUAAAAAUUAAGAAGAAAUGUUGUCGAAAUUUUUGUAAAAAAAUAUAUAUAUAUAUUUCCCUGAAUACUCGAACAAGUCCCGUUUCAUUCCACUUUAAUACUUGUGUUGGGCUUCGAAAGUCCAUUAUAGGGACAUAAUUCUUCAAUUAUACUAUGAAUGUUAUAAUAAUUGUAAAAUAUCCAUAAGUUGUCUGAUAUAUCCGGUAAUGCCUCGUAGCCCUGUUCCGGCGACGGUUUGAGGUUAGGGGGUGUUACACAGUGUGAGCCCAUUUUCAGUAAAAAUUAGUUAAGGUUGUGUUUGAUGUUCGCUUCGAGGUUAGCUACUUCGUAUGGUCUAUUAUGUGUUAUUUAUGACUUUUGUAUAUGAAAUCCAAUAUUCUUCUUUUGUAUGUUUAACUUCUAAAAGCAUGUUAGCAUGUUCUGAUGUGUAAAAUAUUUAUGAUAUGUGUGCAUCUGGAUAUAUGGAUAAUAAUUGCAUGUGCAUUGGGGUAGGAUUAUGAUGUGAUGGAGGAAGUGUUGGCAAUUUAAUGAUCUGGUAGUUUAACCACGUAUCUGUUUAUGGUAGCUUGACUACAAUUCUAGUGGUUUGACCAUUCUUAUGUGAUUCUAGUGGAUUACCGCACUAUUUAUGGCAGCUUAAUGCACUAUUUUAAAAAGUGACAUAUGCUCACUUAUAAGUGUGGGGGGUUGAAUGGGUAAUUAUUACCAUAUUUGGUGUGUAGGGAUGGACGAAGAUGGUGUGUAGCAGAUGGGGGUGGGAUCUUUUUCGAUUUUGUAUUAAAUGUUGCAUCGCAUGAUAUGUCAUGCCUUUUGUAUUUGAUUUGAUUAUUAUGUUGCAUUGCAUAGUAUGACAUGCUGUGUAUUCUGUUCGAUUUCUAACUUUUGUGUGAUUUUGUUAUCUAUUCUGUAUGUAUGGGCUAAGUUACACACUGAACUUUGUAGGGGCUCCUAAUUUUUUUUGACUUAUUAGAUAAUCAGCAAAUUUAGCAUCAGACAACGCAGCAGAGCUCCGAUUGAUUUUUUGAGUAAUACCAUAAAAUCAUUUUGUUGGAUUUUGAUAUUUUAAACAUAAAACUACAAAAUCGUAUGAAUUAUCAAACUAGAAAUCGGUUUUCAAAACUAAAACUUUGAAAAUUUUCCGCUACUAUACUAAGUAAGUAAUUAAGUGAUUUUAUUGUAAAAUGAAUGUUUUUGAGUAUGAGAUUUUUUAAAAAACGCAUAAAAGGUUAGCUAAAAUUAAUAUUUUCUGACCAUGGGUUUUCCAAAAUAAGAUGUGUUUCAAGAACAAAUGGCUAAAGUUUUUUAAUUUAUCAAUGUAACCUUCAUAAUCCGGCCAUAACUUUUAGGUCAGGCUUAGGUGUUACAAAAAUUGGUUCUCACCACCGUUUUGCAUUAUAGAAAAAUAUCCAAUGGUUCAAUUGGUUCUUUGAUUAAUUAAAAUUCCAUAGCAAUUAACUUUUACCAUUUUUACAAUUUAGUCAUUAUACUUUAAUUAACUGUCCAAUUAACAAAAUUAAGGGACCAAACUUCAAUUAAACUUUAUACUAACCUCGUAAAUAUUAAAUAAUAACAUUCACGAAUUGAAUCAUCAGAAAUGGGGUUCCAAAAUCACCGGGUUCGACACCAUUGAAAAUUAGACUGUUAUAGAUUUUAUUUUUUAAUUUUUUUAAAAUUUUUAUAAAUUUUAAUAAUGUUUUAAAAUUUUAUGAAAUUUUUAAAAAAAUAAUUUUAAAAAAUAUAUUUUAAAAAAAAUUAAGCUUUGAAAUGAAUGAACCUAGACAACCAUUUAUCCAGAUUCAUUCCAAUAAAAAUAUUUUUUUUUAUUUUUCAUUUAAAAAAAGAAUGAAUUUAUUAUAUUUUGUUGACGUGGCAGUACAUUAGCAACUAUUUUUGACAUGGAGCGCAACAUCAGCGCUGUUAACAGAUAUGUUAAUGUUGUAACAGUCAUCAUUAGUCAAAUGGCCUAUUUGACCAGUUUUAUUAAUUUAAGGGCUCGAUUGAGUGUAAAAAAAUUCCAAAGGGCUAAUUGAUAUUUUUUGAAAAAGUUCGAAAUACUUUUAAAUCAUUAAGCCUAAAAACAAAGAUAAAAAUUAACUAAAACCUAAUAAAAAAAUCAAAUUUUUUUGUUAAAAAAUUAAAAGGCAAUUUAAAAAAAAACAAAAAAAGUGAUUUUCAAGUUUUUAAUUGGAUUUGUUUUCAAAUUAGUUCUAAUUAUUUUCGAUUAUAUGUUAUUGAUAUGAUCUUUUAUUCUCAAUUUAACAUAUCAGUUGGAUUCAGUUUUGAUAACAAUCAUAUAGAUAUAGUGUGAAUAUAGUAACCAAAAUAAUAAACCUAAAUUUUAAACUACAAUAUGUAAAAAUAAAUAAAAUGAAUGAAUGAAAUAAUACUUAAUUUGCAAUUUUUUUACCGUCCAUUGGAUAGUGCUUCUACUAAGAAGGUAAACAGAUACGAGGGCCAUUUAGAUAAAAAAUUUUAUAUGAUGAAUUAAUAAUUCCAAAUCACAGCGAAAGAAAUUAGGGAUAAUAUAAUUUUUGGUUAUUAAUUUGAUAAUUAAGUUUAUUUAGAUAUCUGAAUUUUGUAAUUUAUUUUAGUCCCUCAACUUGGAUUUUGAUAAGAUUUGAUGAUGUGAUUAGUGUUUUUAGAAUAUGAUUGAAUUAGUUAAUCAGAUCGAUUGGAUCAAGUAUCAACUCGUAUACUAAUCCAAAUAAAGAGGUUGAAUCGAUUAAAUUACAAACUACUCAAAACCGGUAUAAAUUCAAAACUAGGACAAAAAACCAAUAGUUGAACAAGUUGAAUCAAUUUAACAUUUAACAAUUUUAUUUUUUAAUGAAUUUUUUUAAUUAUUGUUGGUUUAGUAGUUGAAUUGAUCAAACCGAUUGAAUCGAGAACCAAUAGUUUAACACAUUCAACCACUAAUCUAAUUAUUAGGAUAUUGUAUGUGACCCUUCAAGAAUAUAUCAUAUAAUCACUUAAAAAUAUAUAUUUUUUUUAAUUUUUAAGUAAUGAUAUGACAUAAUUUCAUAAUACCUUAGUAUCAAUUGGUAAUUUGUCUAAAUUUGUUGACACUUGGAUUUGAAAAUAGGAGCCAUUGACUUUUGGUUACAUGCCAGUCUUUUCACUUAUUGGGGAUGAGGUAAGAAAAUAUGCAAAUAAAAUCUUAUAGAAGAUGGAAAUUUUAGGGGUGGUUGAAUUGGGUCACCACUAUUGCAGGAUAUAUUGUCAUGAAGUAAAAUCUCCACUCUAACCCCAUUCUAUCAUGGAUGUCAAAAACAAUGAUUGCAAAUUAUGACUAUUUUCACUCACCCAGGGUUUGUUACUGGAUUGUUGCAGAAAUUUAAAUAUGGAAUAUUAUUUAAAUUUAAAAUUAUUAAAUUUAUUGAUUUGAGGAUAUAUUUGAAUGAUUGGUGUAUUUACUUAUAGUUAAUGUAAAAAUAUUAGUCGUUGUGAGAUUAGAUAUUGUAAAAUAUUUUAACAUAAGACAAAAAAAUAAGUUAAAUAAACCGUACUACACUCCUUUAUUCAUCCAAACCUACUCUGAGUCUUUUAAAUCAUUUAACGUUAUUGAUGUUAUAAUACGUGAAAAGACAUGAAUUAGAAUAUACUUAAAUUUGUAUUAUUCUUUUAUUUUAGAGUUUAAAGAUUUUGAGUGAUAAUAAAAAUUGUAUCGGUAAUAAUUCUAAUUUGAUAGGACUUAAUCUAAAAACUCCAAUUGAUCUCAAAUUCGGAAUGAAUUAAACCCAAACAUGAAAUGAUUCAAAAUGAUCCAUUCAAAUUUAAUAGGACUUAAUCUAAAAAAAUAUCUAAACUCAAAAUGAUCCAAAUAAAAAUUACCUCAACUCGAAUAUUUCAAUCUUAGAAAACCUUGUUAAUAAACUAGAAUUACUUGAACCCAACAUAAUCAAAACUUACUAAAUAGUUGGUUACAGUAAGACAAAUUUUACUCUUAACGGGAGACUCUGUAAGUUUAAACAUUAGAGAUAACCUUAUUGAGAAUGAUAUUUAUAAAUUUCGAACAUAAACUAUAAAAUAAAAGAAAAUUUGAAACUCACCGCAAUGAAAAUAUUUUAUGGUGGGUUUGAAUGGAUGGUACUAUGCGUUUAACUUACUUUUUGUCUUAUUGUCGCUGCUAUUUUUAUGAUAAACGCACAUCCAUCCAAACCCACCUUUACCAAGAAAAUUUUAAACCUGUUUAAUCCGGAUUGAAAAUCAACUGGAUAAGCCCAAUAUUAAGUAGAUAAAUUCUAAAAGGAAUUGAGUUUAAAGCCUAAAUGAAAGAAAAACUCUAUAAAAGAUGGUCAUUUUAGUUUCUAAAAAUCCAAUAUCAUGAAUUUACACAAAUUCAUGUAGCAGACCAGGAACUUAAUACAUGGAGAAUGCUAUCUGCAAAAAUCUGUUUAUAAAUCUCCCUAAGUCACUGUUAUUAUGGUCCAUUUCCCCACGUUUCAGCAAAAUUCAUGGGAACAAACAAAAGUUAUCUGUUUAUACACAUCAAUGCUCAAUCUCCCCAGUCUUUGUAACCCCGCUUCUCCAACUUCGCCCAUCGGAUUUCUCAUCGUCUUCGCCCUCCACGACGCUGCCCCCACUCGACAGCCCUUUAGUCCAACCGCCGGCUCGGAGUGGACCCUGUGGGGAAUCAGACUCAGAAAUGUUUGCUUUCAUCUUCUCAUUACACUGAUUUUGAGCCGAUGAAUCCGAAGCAACCUUUCGGAAAUGAAGUCUAUAUUUCUGCACAAACCAAAAUUUCUUUCAACAAACAUAAAGGACAUAAAACAAGGCCAUCAAAAGUCUAAGAUUUCACAUAUGGUACCUGUAAAUGGCUUUUCACUUCAUCAUUGGUAAGACCAUCAACUUGCAUCAAUUCCCUAAUCUGUUUAGGAGUUGCCACUGUCAAAAAACCAUUAAGACACCAACAAAAGAAUCAGAUUCCUGGUCCUAAAAAAGGGUUCUUUUCAGUUCAACUUGGAUAACAACCAUACAUAAAAUAAAAUACAUCAAAAUUUGAUUACUUUAUUUGUAAAGGCCUAACCUUUUGAACCACCAAGCUUUUGAAGAGCUUCAACAAAUCGUUUAUGAAGCUCAGGUGACCAGCACCGUCUUUGUUUCUUACAAUUCUGCAUAUCUUGUUGGUGUUUGGUCUGAAACUUAGUUUGGUUUUGAUCUGAACCAAAACCAGUUUUGCAGUUGUCAUUGAUCUUCAAGAUUGGAUUAUGAGAAGGAGAGGAAGAACCCAAAUCAAAACUUGGGGUCAUAAGAGAAAGCUCUAGAUUGUCCUUAUCCAUUUGUCCCUUGAAUCUUUUGUUAUUAAAAAAUUCAAUUGGGUCCUCAAACAUAUCUUCUUCUUCUUCUUCUUCUUCUUCUUCUUCUUCUUCUUCUUCUUCACUUCUCUGUCAAACUCAAAAUCCCCUUAAAAACAUUAGUAAAUACUGUUCUAUAAAACAAGAUUAAAAUCACACACUUGGUUUAGGAUAUUACCAGUUUCAGUCUUGGAACUUUGUUUGGUUUCUUGUUCUGAUCAACGUUGCCGGAAUCAGAGUUCCACAGUUGAACAGUACUCCUCCAGUUCCUCUUGCCGCCGGCGCCGCCAUCGUUUUCCUUGUUUACCUUUCCAUUUCCUUCAUCAAUGGUCACUGAUCCAUCACCAAGCUCCUUACACAUCAUUUCUUCCUCCUUCAAUCUCUUAAUCACUAAAAUCCCAUUAAAAAUAUCAAAUUAAAUCCCGGAAAAAAUUGAAAAAAAAAUAAACAAAAAAAAUACCAUCUUUCAAGAGAAGCAUGCAAAGAGGAAGCUCGCGUUUGAAGGCAUCAAUUUUCUUCAUCUCAUCUUCCAAUCUUCUAACAUAAUCACUAAUCUUACAUAAUCUUUGAAACCCAUUUUUGAUCUUUGAAGCUUGUUUCAAAAACUCAGAUACAGUUUCUGGUACAUAAACCAAAUCCACAUCCAUGUUCAACUCCAUUAUUCUUUUUUUUUUCUCGCUCUCUCUUUUUUCUAACAUGACAAUAACCAACCAGACAUGUUUAUAUAGUAUAAAAGAGAUUCAAGAUUCGCUGCCUGUUUUUCACGAACGGAUCGUCGCGUAUUUUUAAAGUUUAUAAGAAUAUAACUCGGUGACUCGGUAGUCUUAACUCAGUGAUGUUUGUAAAUAAUCUAUAGGUUCCGUAAAGGCCACGCGGCGAACUGUUGAAAAUAUGAACAUUUUUUAAAAUUUUUAUUUAGUUUUUUUUUCCUCCACUUUUUGGGAUGAAAUUACUGUUUAGGUGUAAAAAAUUGACCAUAAAUAGUUGACCCAUGAAUAGGGGAUGCUUUGUCAAAAGUACGUUAGAGGGGUAUUUCGGUUAUUUCAUUAUUGUAAUAGAUAAUUUAGUCAUAAAAUAAUUAAGAAACAUAUGUGUUUGGUAAGAAAAAGAUGACCCUAGAUUUUCUAUUUCAAAUCCAAGAAAAUGUUACUUAAAUGCGAAUGAUACCCUUACAUCUAUAGAUAUUUGUCAUCUACCGCAUUGAUUUUACGAAUUAACCAGACACUAUUUAAAUUUUAAAAAUUUAUAAAAUCAAUCCAAAUUAAAUAUAAAGAAUUUUUAUACUAAUAUUAGUUAUUUAGUAAAGUGAAUGUUUAUCUGUCAACUUUCUUUCCAUUUUUAUCUAUUAGUUCACGCGUCGAACGUUACUACUUGUUGUUAUCCACUCAAAACCAGAGAUAAAUACAAUGGACGAGUAAUGUUUAAAUCUUUUUACAAAUUAUAAAAUUAUAAGUUGGUAUGACGGUAAAGUUAAAUUUUGACCUCAAAAUUUAAAAUUUCGUUUUGACCUCCCCCAGAUUCUUAAUAGAGUAUGGUAUAAUGAAUUAAGCGAACAUCAAUUCAAUUGAAAAAAAAUACGAAACAAUCAAAUUAAAAAGUAAAAAAAUUUAUACUAACGUUAAUUAUUUUUUUGUAAAUUUAAAACUCGGUUGACUACUUUCAUUACAUUUAUCUACAAACUCACUCGUCAAUCGUUACUAUUGAAGCAAGGUGUGCUGAAUGAGGUGAGUGGCAUUCGAAAAUGUCACUGUAACUAGCACUGAGGCAGUGAAAUUACUUACCAUAUUUGAAGAUUGUAUAAUCUUUCUAUGGAAACUAAUCCAAGGCUAUUGAAGUAUAGAUUAGUGCCGAGUGAAUCAAUUCGACAUAUUGUGCUUCGAAUGUUUAAGGAGUUGUGAUGCACUCGUAAACUAAUUAAAAAUAUUAGUAAUUACUGUCUUUCUAUUAUUUAACCGACAAAUUGGAGAGAUAGAUUAAAACUAAAAUUAACUAAAGAACAUGAUAACGAACAAAUCAAGAAAAUAAAUUAUUAACAACCAAGAAAAGAAACAAUAUCUAGGAAAUAAUCCAUCUAGAUUUCAUCUAUCAUUAUCAAUCUGAAUUAAACAAUUUCUUCACUUAGUAUCUUGAUCUGUAGAAAUUCCUAAAUUAUACUAAUAACUCUUUCGAGAGUAAGAGCAACCGACUCUAGGUUGAUUAAUUGAAAUAUCUUUCUAAUUAAAACCCUUAUUAUCGCAUUAACUCGAUCUAGAUCCCCCUAUUAGAUUUGACUUUAAUUUGGUAGAUUUAUGUCAUCCUAUUUCUAGGAUUGCAUGCAACUCCACUCGAUUAUAUUAGAUAUACUCUUAAACAGGGUCUAUUCCUCAUUUGAUUUAAGCACAUCGAAUAUGUAUUAAUAAUUUAGAAAUAUCAAACCAAGAAUUAAGCACACAUAAUUGAGAACAAUAUCCAAGUAUUUAUUGUGUAAAAUAGAAAUUAAAUAACAGAAUCCAUCCUAAGGUUCAUCUUCCUAGGUAUUUGGAAAAUUAGUUCAUGAUAACAAUUAAAAACAUCUUAAAGACAAUAUAACCACAAGAAACAACGAAACCCAUAAUAAACUUCAAAGAAAUCAAAAAGAGAUCUUCAAUCUUGAUGGAAAACUGGUUCAAAGUCAGCUUUAAUGGUGUUUUCCGAAUUGUUUUCUUGAAUAUUCUAUGACGACUUACUCACAUCUUAUUACAUUUGUCAUAUAUAGGUUUUAGAAUGCCUGAAAAACCUAAAAAUUGUGUUUUUUCGUGUGUUUGGAGUGCAAUUUACGAUUUUAAUACGGCCUGGCAGAUGGCUGCGCAACAACCCGUGUGACUCACACGGCCAUAUGUCCAGCCUGUGUGGAAUGGACUAACCUGUGUGGCUUCUAAAACUUGCUCUGAUUUUUCGAUUUUUGCUCAUUUUGCUCCCAAAUGCCCUUCUAAGUAUAAAAAAUGAAUUUAAAGGAUUAGGAGCAUAAAAUUCACCAUUUUAAAUUGAAUAAUCAUCCAAAAAUUCAUUAAGAAUGAGACUAAAAUAUGUUACAUUUGUCAUUUAUCAAGUUAAUUAUUAUUCACUUAGAUUCUAUGUUAGCAAGCCGUAAUUGAUAUAUGCUAUGAGGAUUGUCUAAGUUAUGUAUGAGAGCUUAUAGAGAGCACUUGAAUCUGUUCAUUAAUGAAUUAUUUUUUUGAAAGAGUGCAAACUGGGUUGUAAAUAUUGAGUAUUUACUGCCCAAGUUUUCAGGGGGAGGGAUUGUAGGUGAAUGUUUCAGUAUUAAGGUAUAAAGGUGAUAUCUCUAUACAAGUCGUAGAGUGUGAUUCACUUGUUGUAUUGGUGAUUAAAGAUAGUAGAGUUACUCACUAAGUUAGGCUCUAAAGACAUGGAAACCAAACUGUGUAAAAAAAGAUUAGUGUUCUUUUUUUUUUUUUGCACAAUUUUCACAAUGAUGAAUCGUAGUAGUCACUGUAGUCAAACACUUUCAUUAACUAUUUUAAUUCACAAUAAACGAAAAUUGUAUAACUUGCUUGACAACUAAUUAUUUAUUUAAUUUCAUUGUUUUCACCCACACACGAUUUCUAAUUUAUUUCAGCCUAUACCAAUAUUAAAAUUUUGACAGAGUUAAUGUCAAUCGUUAACCUAACACCAACAUAGUUGGGUUAAAUGUAAAAAACAAAAAAACCAAAUUUAAUAUAUAAUAUUAAAUGAAUUUAAGUAUAAUUAUUUAAAAAAUUAUUUUUCAAGCCCACAAGUGCAAUGGGCUUUAGUAUAAGAAAAUCUUUUGUUAGAUUAAUAUUUAGAGAGCGGAGAUAACCUGCCAAAUUAUAGCUGUUUGUUUUUCUUUACAAAUAUUUGAUCUAUAAAUAAAUUAAAAUUUAAUUACAUAUAAAUUUAAUUUUGAUUUAAUUCUAAUAUUAAAAUCAACCAAGUGACUUACAUUGAAAUUGAAUUAAAAUAAAGAUGUUACUCAAUCAUAUAUACAACUUCACUCGGAGUGAAAUUAGGGGUACUAACAGGUGAUCGACUCUUAAAAUAGAAAAUUUUCUAUUUAGGUAAUUUGAAGUUUUUAAAAUUUUAAAUUAGUAAAGAUAAAAUUGUACUUUAACCCUUUAAAAAUGUAAGAAUUUGAUUUAAUCAUUUAAAAAUUAUAAAAAUAUAAACUAUUAAAAUGAAAAAAUUAUAUUUUAUAUAUCGUAAAAAUUACAAUUUAAUUUUGACCCUUUUAAAAAAAAAUUAAUUUCAUUACAAUAAAUGCAAUCUUCGGGAUUUGUACCAAAUGCAUAUAAAAUAUCUCAUUAGUUUCACACACACCUUGAGUUUUAAAGCCUAACACAAAUCUAAAUUGUUUUAAACCUAAUAAGUUUCUUAUUAUAACAUUAAACAUUUUUAGGUGAUUUGUCACUAAAAUAUGAAGUCUCAUAAGAUUUUCCUUAGCUUUAUUUAUUGAAUAACAAAGAUCUUUUCUCUUUAUUCCUUCUCAAUGCAAAUGCAAAUGUGAAUAAUGAGCAAUCAAUUUAAUUCAAGAUCAUCCAUCAAGUGCCCCCCACCUAUUCAAGACUUUGUCCUUCACCUAAGACUCGAGAUGGAAAAAGAUAAAACAAGGCAUGCGAAAGAUUCCUUUUGACAAAGCCACUUUAUUCAUUGUAUAUAUAUAUUUGUCUUCCCUUUUUUUCGGAUUGGUGUUCAAAUAACUUAACUUUUAUAUAUAUAUAUUUUUAAGCAUUUGUGUGCCCAAGAAAUUAGAAUCUCCUAGAGAAAGCAAAACAACCAAUUGAAUGAUGGCAAAUGGUAAGGAACCGUUGAUGAAGAUGAGAGAUUCUUUUGCUAAUACCCGUUCACCCCAAAAGCAACAUACUUUAUUGAGUUGAAUUCAUAUCUAAAAUUAUUUUUAAAAAAUUUACAUAUAAAGUAAGUUAUAUCUUACUAUAAUAUUUUUAUUCAUUUUAAACUCGAAAUAUAAUGCGUAAUAAACAAUUAUGUAAAAUUUUAAUAAAUAUAUUUACUAUAUUUUUUUUCAUCGUGCCUCAGGGAUCAAUUGAUUCCUUAAGGAGAGCCCAAAUUUUGUUGUUGAGUACAACAUACUAGUGUCACGGGACUAAAAUUUUAGUUUGGAAAACCGUACGGUCUUAGGCAAUUUCUUGGGUUUAAAUCUGUCUAAAGUCAUCCAUACUCCAGAAACUAAGAAUUCUAGUAGAAAUUCUCCAAGGCACAAAAAACAAAGCGAAAGCAAACUUGUAAAGAUAAAGAAACUUGUAUCAAAUAGAAAAGUAAAAAAAGAAAAAGAAAAAAAGAACAAUAACACAAUCAGUGUUUGAAUAAAUGCUUUCAAAAGUAUUCUAUUACUUUAAAGAAUUACAAUUGAGUGAUAAGAAAUUACAUCAACAACUAAAGGUAGUGCCUAUCUACAAUAUGAGAGUCCUAAGGGACUUAAACUCUACAUAUUCUUAUCCUUUAGGAUUUACAAUAACUACAAUGGUAAUUCUAAUUUUACUAGAGUUUUUCACUAUGCUACUAAGACUUCAAGUAGAUGAGCUUUUUAUACAAGUAUAAUAAAAAUAACCCGACCCGAUAAACCCCCUAUAUAUAUUUCUAAAAACCCCUCUUGGGGGGAAGAGCACUCCAGAUACUCUAUUUUUACUAUCUUCUUCUUCUCUGCUUCUUCACUAAAACUCCCUCCACCUCUUUCUCUACUUCUGUUGAUAUUGUGUAUCAACAAUGGUGCGGUGAGUGUGGACGAAUUACUCUGGUCUCCAUAUUGGGUUUGAACUUAGGCUUGACUUGCAGUAGAUGAGUCAUUUGGUUGCUGGGAUAGAACCUGUGACUGAGGCUGCAACGGGGUUUAUUCACUCAUGUGAAAUCGAUCAAAAUCUAAAAUAUAAUUUAGAACCCUUUAGAGUGUAACAUGCCGUUUUCAGUGGUGUCAAAAAUAGUGGUUUUGGGACCACAAUUUCGACAAGCGAAUCAAUAUUUUAGUAUUUACUUAAUGUUUAUAGGGUUAGUAUAGGGUCGUAUUAAAAUUUGGUUAAGAAAUUUAAUGUUUAAAUAGUUAAUUUAGUAAAAAGGACUAAAUCAUAGAGGCUACAAAAGUUAGUUUCUAAUAGCUAAAGAUGUUAAAUGGAUAUAGGAAAGUAAACUGGUGAACUUAAAUGGUAAUUAUACCAUACCAUUAGAUAGCGGAUAGUUGUGGUUUGGUUUUGGUGAAAUUUUGAUUAUUUUAAAGGUUAAUUUUAUAAUUAGGUAAUUUGGUAAUUAAAACAAAAAAUGACAAAAUCUAUUAUCAUCAUCUUCUUCCUUUAAUUUCCCAUAGUCAAAUCCUCCAUUAGAGAAAUUGGAGAGCUUUGGUCAACAUUUGUUCAUGCAUGGUAAGUUAUUUUGAUCCCGUUUUUAGUGAUUUUUAUGGUUUUAAAGUUGUUUUAGCUUAAUCUAGCUAACUCGGGGGUCAAUUUGUGAAAUUGUUAAAAGUUUAGGGACCUACCAUUAAUGAGUUAAGUGUGUUUGUGAACUUAAUUGAUAGAUUCAUGAGUUUGAUAGCUAAUUAUAAGUAUUUUGUUAAGUGAUUUUUGGUAAUUUUAAUGUUUAAGGAUUUAACUGUUAAAAUAGUAAAAUUUUAUGGAAAUGCUCUGAAAUGGUGAUAAACAUGGGCUGAUUAGAAACCCUAAGAAAUUCAGCUAGCAUGAAUGAUAGUUAAAAAUGGUUAAUUUGCAAGUUUCAGAUUUAGGGGCUAAAUUGCAUAAAGAUUAAAAUAUUAAGGGUAAUUUUAUAAAUUCACUUUGAUAAGGGUUAUAAACCUAAGUUUAAUUAUUUGAUAUGCAUUCAUGUGUGCAUUCCUAGCUAAUAAACUCCAUUGAAGAAGCAUCUGAACCACAAGUAGGCUUUCGGAUUAUGUUAUAAGUGCUUGUUUGUGUUUAACAAUCAUUUGGGAAAAAACAAUAGCUAUAUUGUUCUUCACCACAAAUGUAUUUUCAAUACAUUCUUACAUGUGAUGCUGACACUUUUGUAAAGAAGGGCUAAAAAAAUGUUUGGACAGUUCUUAAUCUUUUCUAAGUGUUUCAUGUAGCUUGAUGGUAAUUCUUUUGGCAAUAGUUGCAUUCUUGGCAAUAACUGCAUUCUGUAUAUAUAUGUAAAACACAACUUUUCUAUUACAUGGAGUCAGUUAUGUGGGUCAAACUAUAUUUUUGUUCUAUAUUUAGGAUCUUAUCUUAAGUGAGAUUGGUAACAUCAAAGUUUUUCCAUUAAAUCACAUGUUCUUACAUGUAAAAUGUACUAGAGUUACAUUAUUUUAUUUUAUUAAUUAAGCAACUAUCUUGUAUUCAAUAUGAUUGCCUUAAUGUAAGCUUGUGUUCCCUAUAUUUGUUCCCUAUCUAUUUCAACGUAAUAGGAUCACCCUUUAAAUAUUUUUUCCUUAAUGCAGUUUGGAGUAACUCAUACUGUUGAUGUAGUUUUGUCACCCUUGUCCAGUUAAAGUUGCAAGCCAUUAAUUCUCUCUUCACAAGCAUAACUUAAAAAAUAUUAUGUAUGAACGUUAUACUCUCUUUUUCAAUAAAAUUACAUUUUUUGCAAAUAUUGUUUAACUUGCCUAGACAAGAAACAACAAAAUAUAUGAAACAACACGUUGAUUUACAAUCAAAGUUGAUAUUAUUAAGGUUCAUUGAUUUGCGAUUACAGCCUAAGUUCAUUAAUUUACUAUCAUGAACAAUCUUCUCUGAGUUAGCUGAUUUACGAUCGCUACUCCAAACAGCUUAUUGAUUUACGAUCAUAGUUGAUAUUAUUAAAGUUUGCUGAUUUGCGAUAACAAUCUAAGUUCUUUGAUUUACUAUCAUGAACAAUCUUCUCUGAGUUAGCUGAUUUACUAUCGCUACUCCAAACAGCUCGCCAAUUUACGAUUAUAGCUAAUAUUAUUAAGAUUCACUAAUUUAUGAUCACAACCUAAGUUCAUUUAUUUACUAUCAUGAACAAUCUCCUCUAAGUUAGUUGAUUUACUAUCUUUAUUCCAAACAUAUCAUCGAUUUAUGAUUACAGCUGAUAUUAUUAAGGGUCAUUGAUUUAUGAUCAGAACCUAAGUUCAUUGAUUUACUGUCAUAAACAAUCUUCUCUGAGUUAGUUGAUUUACUAUUGCUACGAUCAUAACUGAUACUAUUAAGGUUUGCUGAUUUACGAUCACAGUUUAAGUUCAUUGAUUUACUAUCAUGAACAAUCUUCUCCGAGUUAGCUGAUUUACUAUGGCUACUCCAAACAACUCACUAAUUUACGGUUAUAGCUAAUAUUAUUAAGGUUUGUUGAUUUACGAUCAUGACUGUCGUUUUUAAAACCCAUUAAUUUCUUCAACAAAGUGGAAGACAAAUUUUUACUUACGGGAAAACAUUUCAUGGUAUUCUGCAAUACAAUUUUUUACUCCUGUACCACACUAUUGGACAAAAAAAUUUGCUAAGUAAAGUUUCAAGUUAAAACUUAUAUACUAAGCCCCAAAUUACACGCAUCACACUUGUAAGCUUGUGUAACACCCCUUACCCGUACUCGAGACUGGGAGAAGGUACAGGACAUUACUGUGCACGAACAAGACAUUUCCGAAAAAUUUGGGCUAUAAAAAUUUCGUCUAAAUUAAAACCAGUCAAUCAUAUUUAUAAUGUCCCUAUUAUGGACCUACGAGGCCCAAAAUAUGCAUUGAGAAUGGUUUGAGACUAAAUCGAGAACUUAAGAAAGUUUUUGGAAAAUUUCCUAGGUUAAGCCUCACACGUCCAUGUGAAGGCAAUGCACACGCCCGUGUGCUUUGGGACACGCUCGUGUCCCUUGUAUGGAAUUAAUUGAAUUUAUUUCUCAUUUCGAACCUACAGGGGUUUUCACAUGGCCGAGCACACAUCCGUGUCCCUAGCCCGUGUACUUCACACGGCCUAGACACGCCCGUGUUGUCGCCCGUGCCCAAAAAUUAAAGCAGUCUGUUUAUGAGGUCAUCAUGCAUUUAGGGACACACGGCCAGAACACACGCCCGUGUGCUAGGCCGUGUCCACCAUACGAUUAAGACACACGGCCGUGUCUUUACCUGUGUGUUUACUACCAUGCAUUCUGACCUAAAAAUUUUAGGUGCAGGGGAUACACGGCCUUACCACACGCCCAUGGGGCUGAUCGUGUGUCACAUACGGCCUAGACACACGUCCAUGUGUCUAACCGUGUGGACCAUUUUGGAGGCUACAAAUCUAAGCCAAUGGUCACCCUCAAUAACCACUCAUAUUCGUGAAUCUCAAUAAAGUUUAACAUGGCCUAAACAUGCUUAAGUACUACCAUAAAUGGUCUAUUGCAUGUUAACCUCAUCUCAUCGGUUAUGUACAUGCUAAUUUAUCCUCUUUGUAUUUGGGAUUUACAUCUCAUUCAAGAACACAUUUAGACUUGGCUCAUUGUUAUAACUCAUUGCCAAUUAUGACCUAACCAUCCCAAGUGAUUUGGCCACAUUUCAUAUGUCUAUUUAUAAUAUACCACAUUUAAUCAUAACAAGAACAUUUAACCACAAACAAGCAAAAUUAGUAGGUCAUAGCCUACAUCAAAAUGAGUUAUGUCUUAUGGCCAUAUACAAAAAAAAGAAAGAAUAAGUUUAAUAUUUAAGCCCUUACAUAGGCCCACCAAUGACACAUAUCACAAAAUAACCAAAACCUAUACAUGCCAUUGAAAUAAAAUAAAGUAUCUAUAUACCAAAGCAAAACAAGUUGUUAGUGUUGACAAUGCUCCAAUUGUCUUCCAAUCUUCACGAGUCCAGGAGCUCUGUAAAAUAGGGAAAGGAAAGGGGGUAAGUAUUAACAUGCUUAGUAAGUCCGGAUAACGGGAAGUAAACUUACCAGUUAUUUAGCAUGCAAUCAUACAAGACAUUCAGGCCAACAUUCAUAGUAAAAUUUCCUAUCACAUGUACUCAACCAUCAAGUUAGUCUCAUGCCAGUAUAAUGUAACAUCCUACAUAUAUGAGCUCAUCAAUUCAAACAUGUCUAUUCCUAUUUAACAUUUUAAUCCCAUCGAAUUUCUUGGAAUAUCGAUGGAUAUCUCGUUUACCAUCAAAUCAUACAAGUGAUCUUUCAAAUACGCACUCCUGUGAAACUCACUUUAAUCCCCCACAACGUAACUCACAGAGUAAUGUCGGGAUUACCAGUCCAGGCUAAAUCCCCUACAAUGACAUGCACUCCUACGAGUUCAAGUCUGAAUUACCAGUCUAGGCUAAAUUCAGACCCCAUUUGGAUUACCCGUCCAGGAUAAAUCCAUUAAAGAACACAUAUUCUUCGGGAUGCUAGAUCACUAUAGGAUCACCUGUCCGGGCCAGAUCCUUUAUACCAUUAUUUCAUUUUCGAGUAAUCCAUUAGACAUUUCUUUUUAUUCAACCGGGACAUUUCAUCAUAACAUUAAUAAUUCAUGAGUUGUCAUACAAUAAAUAUUACUAUUAUAAUUCAUCUAUGUACAUACAUCUUAAAUGUAUUUUAAAGAUAGUUUACAUUCGAGUUACACGAACUUACCUUGUAACUGCUUAAGUUUCGUAUUUCAGUUAUUUCGAAACUUUUCGUUUUCCACUAUUGAUCUCUGGAAUCGGUUCAUCAGGGUCUAUAUCAGUAAAAAUGAAUUAUUAAUACCUCAUGCUAUUUAUUUCGGACCUAAAAUUCACCCCGGGCAAAUUGGGCAAAUUGACCAUUUUGCCCCUAACAUUUCAAAAUUUUACAACUUAGUCCCUAGGCUUGUAAAAUGAAAUACAUGAAAUUCCUUGGUUACUCAAGCCUAGCCAAAUGUAUUAUAAACUCAUACUAGCCCACAUUUUCCCCUAUUUCACAUUUCUACCACAUAUUUUGUACCUUUUGCAAAAAGGCCCUUUUAGGGGUUUUUCAUGAAAAUCACUUAGAAAAAGAUAUUUAAAUCACAUCUAACUUUCAUAUUCCCCCAUAAAUCAUCAAAGAAAAAACAUGUCACACAUGGGUCAUUUUGCAUACAUGAACCCUAGCUUAAAUUAUGUGUAGAAAUGGAGAGAAAAUGUUACAAGGAUCUCAAAAAUACAAAGAACAUUAAAAUCGGGGCUAGGAAUCACUUACUAUUGAGCUUGGAAAAUGAAGAAACCCUAGCUAUGGUAUCCCUUGAAAUUUCGGCAGUAAGAGGGAGAAGAAUGACUGAUUUUUGCCUUCAUUUUCCCUUUUUAUUGCUUUUAUUACCAAAUGAUCAAAAUGCCCUUCUUUACUAAACUUCCAAAAUUUUCCAUGCAUGCCCAUUUUUGUCCAAAAACUUAGAAAUUGGUCAAAUAAAUCUUUAAGACCUUAUAAUUAAUAAUCUAAAGCAAUUUCAUGCAAACUUCUUCUAGAAUCCAAGUUUUGCCAUUUAUUCGAUUUGGUCCCUAAUUUCCAAUUGGACACCUUACACUAAGAAUUUCUUCAUAAAACUUUAACACAUGCUUACUUUCAUAUUCUAGGCCUCAUAAUAAUCAUAAAAUAAGUAUUUUUACAUCGGAUUUGUGGUCCCGAAAUCACUGUUCUGACUAGGCCCAAUCUGGGGAUGUUACAGCUUGUCUCAUAAUAGUCACUUUAUAACUCUUUUUUCACAAGGUAGGGGAAAAUUGUUAUACACCUAUAAUAAAAAUAACUUGGUCCGGAAUUCGAUCCAAAAUUCGACCCGAUAUACCCCAUAUAUAUUUCUAAAGACUCCUAUUGAGGGGAGAGCACUCCAGAUACCCCAUAUAUAUAUAUACUAUCUUCUUCUUCUUUGCUCCUUUACUAGAACUCCCUCCCCCUCUUUCUCCACUUUUGUUGAUACCGUAUAUCAACAAACUUCUUCAUGUGUUUCACGAAUCGGGCCAGUUCAAGUGGGUCAAAUGAGCUCUAUUUAAUCAGUUAACCUUCAUGAGAUGUUUUGUGUGCAUUCUUUUGGACUUAGAUCCACGACCCUUGACACUAGUAAAGGGUUUUCCAAUCUAAUGAUUGAUGCCUCAUUUUAUAGGUUUGAUUCAUUCAUUGCUCUUAUUUGUUAUUGGUUGGCUUUAACCAUCGCUUCAAAUGGAUUGUCAUGUAUGGCUUUGGACAUUUGAGAUAAGAGUUUCUUCAUCUAGCUGAGGAUGCCCUUGCUUUAUUGUGUUAGAAAGGUGCUAUAACGUUUUGUAACCCCACUUUAUACUAAUUUGUGUUGCUCCUUGUUCUUUUUCUUUUCGAGUCAAGCAAGAUUGUAUCUUACCAUUUUUAUGGUUAGUUUAUUCUAUUUUUUUUCUUUUGAUUAAUAGCGUUUUAUGUGAACAAAAAUUAUGUUGUAAUCAUGUUAUUAUAAAAUUAUAUUAAUUUUCCAAGUUUUUGAAAAAAUAUAUUAUUUAGAUUUUUUUUUGGUAAAUUACAAUAUCAAGACAAAGUCCAAACAACCAACGUGACUAAUGCAACUCAAACCCAAGCUACAUUUAGAGCGGUAAACACCUUUGACCAUCGAGCCAUCACAUGGGGUUCGUAUUCUUUUUAAUUUAAUUGUUAUAUUUAAUAGUCUAUUUAUGUAGGUUGUGCUCAAAUUUCAAAUAAAAAAAUGUGUUUUUUUAUUUAUAAUUUGUGUAAUAUCCAAAGAAGCAGUAAAAACUGCUAAAAAAAUCCUUUACAGCAAGCAAAGGCAACUCAAAUUGAUAACAACAUUCUAUCUAUCAAUCUUUGUCAUUAUAAGUGUAAUAUGUACAAUUUCUUUAAUUAUGCAAUUAAGAAUUUCUUUUAAUCCCUAAAACAAUUUCUUUUAUGCAAUUUCUUUGAAUGUUGCACAGCUUUAGGACAUCUCCUUAAACCUUGUUUGCAAGAACACAUUCAGAAAACUAAGUGGUCCCUUAUUUCCAACUCUCUUUAGCAGAGGGUAAAAUGACCCUCAAAGUCUGUCUUUGGUAGGAAGCCUAUUAAUAACACCCAUUCAUGUUAUGUUAUAAGAGAGUGCUUCCAAGUUAGGAAUGUUGAGAGGAAACCUAACAAUCUUAUGCCGAUAGCUUCUCUCCUUUUAAUUUCAUUCCAGUUUUGGAGUUGGAACAUGCAAAAAUUCCACCCCGAACAUGUUUCAAUAUUUUGAUCAUAUCUUAAAUUACAAAAUUUCGAUUUAGUCACGUAAAACAAGAAUUUGAAGAUUUAAUUGACUUAUUAUUUCAAGCAUUGGAGCUUAAAAAUAACGGAAAGAAAUCCAAAAAUAGCUCGAAAGGUUUUAUUUCCAAACAUAACUAAAAUUUAACUUAAAUCAUAUCAUAAUUAUCUUUGAAGUUUAUCAAAUUCCUCCAUAUACUCUCUCCAACUUUAAAGAUAUGUUAAAAAAUAGUCUGCCUUUUUUAAUUAAAAAUAUAUUAUUUAAUGUAUUAAAUACAUUGUUUAGUCAUUUUAAAUUAAAAAAAAAAGAAAUUAUCCAAUAUAUUUUAAAAAAACAGUAUAUUCUCUUUUAAAAUAUUAAAAAUUGUAUUAGUUUUAUGAUUAUUCUUUUUAUUAAAAAAUAAAAAUUUUAAAAAUACUUUUCAAGUUUAAAAUUUUUUUUAAAAUGAUACUUAGUGGUUUGGUUUCAGGAAAUAGAUGCAAUUUUCUUUUUCGUUUUCUUGUAAAAUGAAAACAUUGAAAAAAAUAUAUUUGGUUGAAAAUUUUAAAAGUAAUUUUUAAAAAAUUAAAAUACUAUACUAUUAGAGGAUAUUUAUCAACCCCAUGACAUUGUUUGUAGAGUUUUAAAAAUAAAAAUUCUACGGCAGUAUACUUUUUUUAAUUCCAUAAACAAUUUUAAAAAAAUUGACUCUCCUUGUAAAUUUUUUAACUUUACUUAUAGAAUCUAAAAACUUUAUUAGUAAUGUACCAAAUAUAACUUUAAAACUUUCAAAAAAAAUUGGAGGGAUUAUAUAAAAUUUUAAUAAACCUUAAAGGGCCAUUAUAAUAUUAUCCCAUUUGAAAUUUAAGGCACUCCAGCUUCGAAGGCGUCUCUCCGUCCGAAGGAUAGCAUUCAAUCAACUCUAAAAUAAAAUAGGUACGGAGAUUAUUUUGUUUUCAUUAUCCUCUCAAAAUUCGAGACACAUGUCAAAACAUCAUUCUAAAAUUCGAUAUUUCUACAUGUUGAAAAAAAAAAUAUAUAUAUAUAAAGGUAGUGAAGAUAAGGAUUCAUUGAAUUGUUGACGUUGGAUAUUGAUAAAUGAAGAAGAAGAUAAAGAUGCCUUUUUCAUGCAAGCUGACAAACCAUUUCUGACCAUCAAAUUAUGGCAUUAUUAAUAUAUCAAUUAUUUCAACACCAUUAUCUUGGACUAUCAAAAUAACUCUCUCUUUUUCUUUAUAAAGUAUUUUUUUCGAAUUAUUCUCUGGAUUUGAUAAUUAUUCUUAUAUUAAAAGUUUGAACUUUUUUAUUCAUGUUAAUUUUUAAUAUUUUUUUAAAAAUUUUAAAGUUUAAGCUCUUAUAUUAGAACAAUUUCAAAUUUAGGAACUAAUUUAAAAAAAAUUCAUAUCUUAACGUAAAAAUAAUUAUUUAGUUUAAAUUUCAAUACGAAAAUAAUUGCUAAAUACAAUUACUAACUUGACAAAAAAAAGUUGAGUAAAAAUUGUUUUCAAAUAUCAACUUAGGACAACUUACAGAUUACUCAAAUAUCAAGCAUAAUUAUGGGCCAUGGUAAUGCAUAUGUCAUACGAAAAAGGGCAUAUCAUGGAAUAAUAAAUUUUUGCUUUGUGAUGGUCGAAAAGCCCAACAACUAAAAUGAUAAGUUGUUUUGUGUUGCUCUUAUAAAUAAAUAUUAAAAUUUUGAAUUUUUCUAAUUUUAGCUACUCAAAAGUUUUUAAGCUCAUUAGUUCCUAUUAGUUGGACAAAUAGUUAAAUAUUAAUUAUUAAGUAUUAAUUAGUAUUUUAAUAAAUAUUAAUAUUUGAAAUUUAAAUAAAAAAUAUUAAGUGCAGUUGUAAAGUAUAUUAUAUAUAUUUAAAAAAUAUAUAAAUUUAAAUAUUAGAAACCAAUAGAGAGAUAAUUGUAAAACUCAAACAUAAAUUUUAAAACCCAUACUAAAAACACAAAAAAAAAAAGUUCGCAAAUUUUCAGUCUCUCAUCAAUAAUUGCAUUUGGACGAAAAAAAAAGGCUUUAAGUUGAUUUUAAGUUAACAAUUAUCAAAUGAUAUUUUAAGAACAUGUUAAUGUUACAAUAUACUAAGAUGAAUUUAGCCUUAGGGAUAUAUAAAAAGGCUGUAUGGGUACUAGAGGUGAUCAUGGGUCGGGUCAGGUUGGGCCUAAAUAAAAUUUUAGGCUCAUCUAUUAGGCUCGGGUCUGGCCCGACCCGAAAUAUAGGCUUAAAAAUUUAUCCAAGCCCGGCCCGAAAUAAAAUUGCUAAGCUCGAGCCCAGCCCGGCCCAUAUUAAUUUUUUUUGCUUAUUUCAUUAAAUAAAAAAAUUUAAAAAUAUAAUAAAUCAAAUAUAUUUAAAAACAUAAAAACAAAUAUUAAAACAAAUAAAAAUAAUACUAAAACAAUUCUUAAAACAAUAUACAAAUUGAUAAUAUAAUAAAAAAUGGUUAUAUUAAAAAUUUAAAAUGAUUAAAAAUAAAAUAAAAAAUAUAUUAAUAUAUAAUUCGGGCCGAGCUAGGCUGGGCCCUGGGCCAAAAAACUCUUACACGAGGUUCGGCCCGUUUUCUAAACGGGCAUUAUUUUUUUGCUCAAGCCUAUUUUUCGGGCCUAUAUUUUUAUCCAAAUCCUCAAAUUUUUUAGUCGGGCCUUCAGGUCGGGCCGGGCCACCCGGCCCAUGAUCAGCUCUAAUGGGGACCUCGUCUUCUUUUCCCCUUUUUUUUUUUUUGGGCCUUUUCAUUUGUUUCUUCGACCUUUGGCUGGCAUUUUGUGAGCUUUUCCGGCCGUCUUAUGAAGGUUCCCUCUUUCCGUUCGUAGCUCGGGCCUAGGCCUUUGACUUCUCUUCGAUAUUCCCGAUCUUUACUUGUUGUGCUCCGCUGUCACCAUGGUCCCCUGCUGGUUAGAGCUUGUCGGUGCUCGGGUUUGCGUUGCACCAGUCUGUUCAACUGGUGGCUGAAACUGUUCGUGGUUGUAAAUUCUUCCUUCGGCAUCGAUUACCAUCUGGCUUCAUGGUGAUUGUCAAAGUUUUUCUCUGGGUUGUUGAAGCAUGGUCUAACUUCGGAGGCGUUACAUGCCGUCAUUUGGUGCAUUCGCCUUUGACCUUUCGACCUCCCUUGGAACUUUAUUCCGGUGACGACGGCUCUGAUGUUUUGUUCUUUGUGUUUGCUUGUGGCUUGUUGAGGCUGGGUUCUGCUCUAUCGUAAGCCUGUGAGCUUUUAUGUUGUAGUAAUAUAAUUUAUUUGGUAAAAAAACGUGGUUAUCAACUCGUUUAAUGAUUUUAAGUUUUUAAUAAUUUAUUAUGUCUGUCACUAUUUAUAAGUUUAAAAAAACAUCUAAAAUAAGUAACACAGUAAGACAAUGGUUUUUGUGGAAAUACAGACCAAUUCCCCUCAACAUCAGUCACAUAAAGCACUCAUCUUAUUGCUUUAUCGGUCACUUCCCAACAAGCAUUACCAGUCUCCAUGGCAACCCAAUCUCAAUUUGGUUGCUUCUUCCCUAAUUAAACCAAGACCAGUGAUGACAAAUAUGAAGAUGAAACGAAACUAGGAUGCUAAUUAAUUAAAGCUUUAGAAAUGGAGAUUUUUUACUGGUCAAGAAAUUGAUUCGUGUAUCUCCAAAUGAAACGAAACAUGGAGUCGCCACCAAUCUUUUUUGUUUAGGUGUGAUCGGGUCACCUAAGAAUUGGGUUAUUUUAAUAAAACAUUUUUUUAUUUACUAAAACAACGAUUUUGGUCUACGAACUUUGAGAAAGCAGGUUCGGGAGUCGGUUACGUAUGAGGAAGGAUUAGCACCCUCACUACGCCCAAAAUUGGUACCAAAUCGAUUAAAUACUGUCCUUAUGUCUAAAAUUAAAAAUAUUUUUGAAAUGUGGUUCUUUUUUAAUAAUAUUUGAAUAACCCGAGUUGGUUGCCAAAAAUCUUCUUGUUUCGACUUCCGAAAGUUUAUAAUUCGAAAAUUGCAAAAGGAUGCCCAACUUAUUUGGUCCAACGAAAAACUGAAACCCAGCACAGUAGGGCACGAUUCCUCGAAUUUCCAAACAUUGAACAUUGCCUUGCCUUAGAAAAUACGAGUGAAAUUCCAAAGGGAUCUUCGAUUGUUUUGAACAAAUGAAAAAGCGCAACCCAGCACGAUAGGGCCCGAUUCUCAAAUCGCCAAGCAUCGAACAUCGCCUUCGUUUUGAAUGGUUUUUAGUAAACAUGAAUGAAAUUCCAUAAGGACAUUCGAUUGUUUUGAGCAAACGAGAAAUUGCAACCCAGCACGUUAGGGCACGAUUCCUCGAAUUGUCAAAUAUCGAAUAUCACCUUCAUUUUAAAGAAUUCUUGAAUAAUUGUGAAACUAGCUUAAAAGGCCUUAAUAUGUUUGAAAUAAGACGAAACCAAUCAUUAAAAAAAUUGAAUUUUAUAAAGCCAUAUUUCAUAAAUCGAGUGGAAAAACAAUGAUAUGGGAUAUAUGCACAUGAGAUACGAUCAAUUAACAAACUAAUAAUUAGGUAUAACUAACCUAGGAAAUAUAAUUAAACUCACAAGCAUGGUUGAACAAUGAUUGGUUUAAUGACAUCAAAAAAUAAAUGAAUAUGGUACAACCAAUAUACAUAGUACACAAAACAAUAUGAACAAACUACAACCACAAUAAUUAUUAAAGCAAAGAUUAUGAAGAAGGAAAUUUGCACCAAAUAAUAUAUAAAAACAUGUUAAAGAUGAUGUGUUCAUUUAAAGUGGACAAACAUACAUGCAUAUAAAAAUAGUAUUUAAAUGUGAAAUCAAAACAAUGUGUAGUAAAAUGUGUUCUUAAAAAAGGUGACUUGUGUACGUAAAAAUAUAUAUAGGAAAGUUUAAGGGAAUUCAUAAAAUAAUUUAGUAUGGGACUAAAUAUGUACAUAGAACCAAAUUAUUAAUUAUUCAUGAACAAAUAUAUACAUGAAACAUGUGAGCAAGUGUUAUAUAAAUAUUUUAAAUAAUAUAGUAUAAAAAAAAUGAACUACAAAAUGAUGGUUAAAAAUAUAUAUAAAAAGGUUAUUGAAAUAGCUCAACAAAUAUAUAAAAAUAUUAAGUACUUCAAAGUAAUGAAUAUUACAAACUACAAAAUUUAAUUAGAGAUGUACAUGUAAAAUAUUUAAAGAAAUAUCGUAUAAAUAUCGAAAUAACAUGAUAAAAAGAACCUCAAACUCAUUGUACAAAAAAGACUAUAAGUAUAAAAUCAUGAGUCUAAUAAUGUGUAUAGAUUAAAUAUAUGUACAAUAUAUAUAUAAGUACAAAAAUAAUUUAAACGAUAUGUAAAACGUGUACACAAAACAUAUUAAAAUAACAAAAACAUAUGGGUUUAGUAAUGUAUAGAUUAAUAUAUAUACCAAAUAUAUGAAUAUUAAUGGUUUGAAUAGUACACAUAUAAAUAAAAAAAAUAAUCAUAAACAAUGCUAAUUAGAUAAUAGUACAUGAAAGAAUUUUGAAUAAUGGAAAUACAAUAAAAUAUAUUUUUAAAAUAUAAACUAUAUACACCAUAGACUUGAAAGAAAAUAUAGAUUUAAAAGAGAUUAUAUACAUAAAAUAAUAUGGGAUUAAUAAUGUAUGUAAAAUAAAGCUGAUUUUAAUAUAAACCAUAUAUAUAUAAUAUAAAGGUAAUUUAAAAUAAAUAUUAUACAAUAUUUCAAGACAACAUAAUAUAAAAGAGAAUUUUGAGACAAUAAUUUUAAAAUUUAAACCGAUAAAUAAAAUAAAUAAACAAAGUGAAAUUAUUAUAGCGAUUCCAAAUGUGUAUUUAAAUAAAUCUUUAAAGAUAAAUAUUAAAUGAAAUUUUCUAAAAAAAAUAAAUAAAGAACUACACAUAUUGAAAUGAAAAGAAAACUUAAUUGAAUAGAAUUAAACUAACAAAGAUAAUUAAUAAAUAAAAAUAAAUUAAUGAAACUGACAUAAGGACCAAAACGCAAUGCGCAUGAAUGCACGAGGGCUAAAAAUGCCAAUGUUCCCAACCCCCAAAAAAAGCACUCAAGCGCGGACUAAAUUGGAGUGGCGCGCAAAGUUUAGGGCAAAAAUGAAAGAAAUGGAAUAGGCUUAAAUUAAAGGUGGUGCAAAUUGCCCUUUUAAGAUGGAAAUGCGCAAUUCCAGCCUAAUGGGCAGGUCAACAUGCCGGUUUCCACCCUCUUAAUUGCACCACUCUAAAUUUAAUAUAGCUUUUAUAAUACAUUUAUUUUAAAAGCUUGCAAAACCAUUUUUCUAAGCAAAAAACCCCCCAAAUUCCUAACCCUCUCAACUAAGGUUUCAAUCAAUAAACCUGUAGCAGCCGAAGCACCACCAGAUCCGGUGGCUGACAGUGCAGACGAUGGCCUAAACCUAUCAACGAUGGAGAACUUUCAGCCUUGAGAUCUCUGCAAGAUAAGGCUCUCCUCUCUCUUUUUCUUUAAACAAAUUUGAUUUCUUUCCUUUUAUUUGUUUUAUUUUUUGCAGUAGACAAAUCAAAGAAAACAGAAGCUAAAUCGAAAGAAAAACGGGAUUAAAAUCACCUUGUGGAGACUUUUUCUUUUCAAUGCUUUUUUUGUAUUGAUUUUUUUUGUUGUGUGUGUCUGUUUUCGUGUCCAACGAUUACAAAGAACAUAGGGCUUUUAUAUAGCCGAGAAUAAAAAUGAAAAUACAAAGAGUUUCUUUUUUUCUCUUUUUUUUUCUUGCUGCUGUCUUUGCUGUGCUGUUCUUGUCCUUUGUUUGUCUUCUUUUGCAGGUACGGAGGAGAACGUGGAGCACGUACAGAGGCUAUGCGCUGGCGUACGGAGGUAGCUGGCGAUCGGGGGCUGCUGGUGGCUCAGCUGCUGCGGCGCAAGGCGAACCUUAGGGUUCCUGAGGAUUGCUUGACCUUUGGGCCAAUCGGGCUGUAUUUUUGGGUCUAGGUUAAUGGGCCAUUGUAUUUGGUUUUGGGCCUAAACAAUGGGUUUGGGCUAUUGGAUUUUAAUUGGGUCUUGGGUUAUGCUGCUGGGUUUGGGGUUGUUUAAUAUUGUAAGUGGACUUGUGGACAUUGUAAUGAUUUGAACUGUAAAUGGACAUUAGAUGGCCGUUAAUUAUUUUUGUUUUUUCUUGGUUUAUUCUUGUGGUCUGGGCCCGGGCAUAAUUUGGGCCUUACACACUUCUCUUCUCUCUUCCAUAAAGCUAUGCAACAACAAAUAAAAAGGACUGUACAAAGCUUUUAAAGCUCAAAUUUUCAAUCUUUAUAAUUUAAUCCUUAGUUUUACUAAUCACUAAAUUAUCACUUUAUAAUUUCUUACUUUACUAACAUACAUUUAUUUACAUAUUCACUACAUUUAUUUUCUCUUCACUUUCUUAUGCUUUCUUUCACUUUCUCUCCUUCAACUGAUUGAUUUCUAUGGUAGAAAAUGAUCUAAUAACACUCUAACAUAUGAAAUUAAGCUAUGGUUUUAAAGUAGAACUCAAGGAAAAUUACUUUCUUUUUCUUUUCUUUUCUCUCUUUCCUUCUCCUUGCUGCCGUCCCGUGCUAAAAUAAUAUAAGAAAAUUCUACAAUUUUCUUUUCUUUCAAUUUCAUCCUUAUUUUCCACCCAUCAAUCAAAUUUCAACAAAUUUCAUCCUUAAUUACCAUAUUUCCCCCUCAACUUUACACUUCACUAGGUAAUCUCAUUAUUAUGUCUAAAAAUAUCAAUUAAAAUAGUAGCAUUGCAUUUAGGUCCUUUUCUCACAAUAUACUUUCCACUACUAUUCAAUUUAGCCCAUACUUAGAUUUUCCAACUCCACACAUCAAUACAUAUCCAUGUAACAUUCAAUAAAAUAUUUAUUCAAUUUCAACUCCUUUAAAAAAUGGUGAAUUUUCACUUUUAGUCCUUCAACUUUUACAAUUUUUUAAUUUACUACAUACUAAAUUUUCACUAUUGAUACUUUCUCUCCAAAUACUUAUUUCACUUUUAAAUUACUUAAUCCUUUCUGGAAUACUAAAAUUUUGGGUAUUACACCAUCAUAAAACCAUUUAGUCUCGAAAUAGCUCGUCAUGCAUCAUGAAAGAAUGCAUAUCCGAUAAAAUCAUAGUUCUUCCCCGAUCUACUCUUUCUCGACAGUAUGAAAACGUCCACCACUCUCCCAUGGUAUUGGAACAGUUUCCAUAACCAUAUCCAAUGCAUCCUAGCCGAAAGGUUAUUGACGAACACGGUCACUAUACCACGAACACAAUACAUGGUUGAGAUCACUGGCACUACUGAAUAUUUUGCAGGUGAAACGCAAGAGAAGCCAUACGAUAGAGGUAUGUCGGUGACCACGAUGAAAGUCCAGAGGAUGAUUCAGUCACGGUGGCUGCAGGUGGUGGGACAACCGAAGGAAAGCAAUGGUGAUGUUGGUCGGCAGCUGCAGGACGCACGGCGCUAGUGAGUGGUGGUGGCUAAAGGUUCCAAGUUGAGUGCUUUAAGUUCAUGUUAGAUUAAUUGCUUAAUGAAUUAUCUCGCUUGAUAAUAACUAUAAAAUUGCAAAGAUUUAUAAAAUAUGUAUAACUAUUUUGCUGGUUGUUUUGUUGUACAUUCAAUUUAAUUUGUGUUAGGAAUUGAAUUUUCAUUACUGAAUUUUAUGGAAUUGAAUUUUGUGUUUAGUGUGCAUAUCACAGGUAGCUUUUUGUUUUUAAUAGUUAUGGGUACCUAUUUUUCUUAUGUUGUUUAUUGGCAUCUUCGUACCUAAGUUUUUGAUCCAAUCCUUACUCCUUAAUUUUCCUUUUGGAGUAAUUGGUUGCCAUGUUACAGCAUGUUCUCAUGGAUUGAACUUCUUUAAUUUAUUGAAGCUUCCUAGGAUUGAGGUUGAUGGUGGGAGCACUGACAUGUGACAACUUCUUGUGGGAAACAGAUGAGAAACGAGGUUUUUUUUUUUUUUCUAGCUUAAGUCAACCAAUAUAUAUACUAUUUACUCGCAUGGGAAUGUUUUAAGGUGCUAACUAUUGAUUAUAUGUGAAAAGAAAAAAACUAUAGAUUAUGUAUUGUGAAUUUGCCAUUGUGUUUAGUAAUUUUAUUUUGUGUCUUACUAACAGGAAAUAUUCGAGUUUUUAUACAUAUUAUUACUGUUUAUAGUAUGACUUUACGGUUCAUGACUUGACUUUACUACUUUUAGGACUGACAUUUUGAGCGGACUGACAUUCUGAGUUGACUUUAGGCAUGUUGAACACGUGUUUUAUUUUAGAUAGGCUGUCAAACCACGUGGUCUCCCUUCUAUGAGCUUCCUGGAUACAUGCGAACUGAGAUUGCGACCUCCCCUCAGUUCGUGCGAACUAUCCUUGUGAGCUAGACUUGCAAACUCCCCUUAUUGUCCUCUGUUCGGGUCAUACUCAAUUUUCUGGUGGAACCUAUCUGCAUCGCGGGUAGGUGACGUGGAUCCUACUUGAUAUUCGGAUUAGUGAUCACCGAUGUAUAAUACAUAGUAUAUUUUAUCAUGGGAAAGUGGUCUGAUCUUUUUUAUCUUCUUAACGUGGGAUUGGAUCAAAUCAAAUGAAUAUCUUCAACCACAAUAUAAAAGAAAAUCGAAACCAACAUCUUCAGUUCAUCAACAGAAUCCAAAAUUUUCCCAGUAUCUUUAUAUAUCAUAACCAGAAAGAACACUUCCAACUCAUUCAAGAAGUUCUCUAUAUCGUCUAACAUAUUGGAUUUUGGCUUGUUAAAAUGUUGAAGCACUUCUCAAUGUCUAUGUUUCUUCCAUUGAUUGCCAUUCUCAUCUUUGAUCGUGUGAAUGAUAUUCCUAAUUCUUCGUUUGUUGGCAGUGAGAUGAAAGUAUCUGGUGUUCCUCUUACCAUCCAUAAUCCAAUCCAAUUUGUAAUGAAAAUUCAUGCAAAAUGUAUAUUAAUUAAAAACUUCUGCUAAAAUCAGAUGAAGCUUUGAAAGAGUAAAAUUGAAGUUCAAAUCUCAUAAAAUAUAAACCUUUUUUCUUUUGUCUUGAGGCUUUUCAUCUACUGCCUUAACCCUUCUCCAUUGUGGCCAUUGGCAAGGACAGCUGCAUGGGUUAACUUGUGAUAUUAGCUUAGUAAAAGUUUUAUGUAUUAUAUAUAUUAAUUUUUUUUAUAAUUCAUAAAAUUAACUCAAUCAAAUAUUUUAGAUAUAACAUAGUAUACUAUAGUACAUAUAUAUCAAUUUUUUGUAUAAAAAAAACCAAACAUCACACAAAAAAAAUUUGCAAAUAUUAAGAUACAAUUUCUUUUAUACGUUGGAUGUCGCCUCUUAAGAGUGAUUAUAUGAACCAACUAAAUUAAUUAUCGGACUCUAUAUAUAUAAAUAUCAAUUUUGUUUCUUCAUUUUCUUCUUGUUUUCCUUUUCACCAACUUUGCCCACCACACUCCCAAAAAAAGGCUUAAUUCGAUCCCAGUUUUUUGCCACCAGCAUAGGAAAUGUUGUACCCAUCAUAACACCUGCAAUAAUGCAACAUCAACAACCAAACAAAAAUUCUAACAUUUUGAAUUCAUUAACAAUAUAUAUUUAUAUACUUCAAUGAAGUAAGAAAAAUUCUAGUCAUUUCAUGUUUAAGAUCAAAAUCAUUUUGAAGUUAAACCAAUUUAAGUUGGAAUCAAACCAGGUUGGGCAUAUAUUUACCUCUACAAUGCGUUGGCAGAUCAAAGAAGGUUCCGGUAUAGGAGAAAAGCAAAAGAAAGGCAACCGUUUGUGGAAAUACAGACCAACAAUUCCCCUCAACAUCAGUCACAUAAAGUACCCAUCUUAUCACUUUAUCAGUCACUUCCCAACAAGCAUUUGCAGUUUCCAUGGCAACCUGUUCUCGCAGUUUUUCCAAUCUCAAUUUGGUUGCUUCUUCCCUAAUUAAAUCAAAGUAGUGAUGAUGAAGAGGAGGAUGAAACAAAAUUGGGAUUUAAUUAAUUGAAACUUUAGAAAUAUUGGAGAUUACUUACCGAUCAAGAAACCGAUUCACAUAUCUCCAAAUGAACAAUGCAGUGAUAGCAAAAAUGGCUACCCAUGAAACAAUAGUGAGGAAGUUGUAUUCGUAAACUUGUUGUAAUAGCCAUGUUGCAGCUGAGCUUGCAAAAAGUGAUCCACUUAUCUUCUUUCUCUUCCAUAAAGCUAUGUCGUUUACAAGCUCUGCAACAACAACAACAAAAAGAAAAGGUCGUAGAAAGCUUUCAAAGGUCAAUUUUGAUUUUGGUAAGCUAACAUAUGAAAUUUAAUUCUAACAAUAACUUAACAUAAUUUAAUCCUCUAAUUUUUGGUCGACAACCAUGUUUGUGGUGUGUGAACUGAUAGUGAUUUGCUCCUCCUAAUACAAAUACCAAAAUCAGAACCAAAAGGAGUAUAUCAGGAACUGACCUGCAGGCUGGGAAUUAACAAUUUUCUCAAAUGAAGCUUUGGAUCGAAUCAAAUCAAGAAAAAUGCCACCAGUAUUUUUAGCACCCGAAUGAAGAUCUUCAACCGCAAUAGAAAAGAAAAUCAUAACCAACAUCUUCAAUUCAUCCAUUGAAUCCAGAAUUUUCCUAGUAUCUUCAUAUAUCAUAACCGGAAAAAAUACAUCUAACAUCGUCCGAAUCGAAUUAUCCACUUCAAUCAGCUCUUUGGCAAACUUAUACUUCUUGGCGUAGCUCCAUGAACUCACCCUAUUUGAUUUAUCAACUAUUUCCUUAGCUCGAGUCAAAUGAUUCAACAGCCUCUCGAUCUCAUGCGAAUCAGUGGACCGACUUAUCUCCAUCACCCUCGGCGUAACCCAAUUCACCGUGUCGUUGAGAUGAUCGAGGAGUGGCUUGAAUCUUUUUUCCGUCCUCUUUGCUCUCUUUAUGGAAUCUAGUAAUAAGUUUAUUAUGUUUGAUAGAGCAACUCCUGGGACAACGUUCAUCAGUUGAGGAAACAUCAUGAACUAGUAUUGUUUUUGUUUUUUUUUUUUUAAAAUUGACGUGAACGUAAAAGGUGUACAAUAUAUAUAUUCAUGAACUCCAUUUUAUGAACUUUGUUUCUUGGAAUCUGCUUUGUUCAUCACUAGAAACUGAUGAUUUUAUGUAUAAUUUGACCGGGUUCUGAUAAAAUUAUUUCAUUUUGUAUCUGCUAGGAAACCUUCUCCUUUAUAUUUAAUUCCAACUUUCAGAUAGUUUAGCUUCAACAAAUCUUAUGAAAAUGGCAGAAAGCAACCUCUGUAUAUAUAUAUUGUAGCAAUAUAUGUGAACAAAAUGAUUAGUCAACUAAGCAUGAGUCAUCCUCCUCUUUUAUUAAAAUUUUCUGAAACUAAUGAAACUUUUCCUGGUUUGAUAUGUUUUGGUUUAUUUGUAUUCUUAGAAACUUUGAUUUCCUUCGCUUCGAUUUAUUUUUCUGAAUUAAUUAAUAUAUAAUUUUGUUAACAAAGCUUGUAUGGAAUAUGGUUUCUGUUUGAAACACUUGCUUUAUUAAGAAAAAUAAUAAUUUUUUUAUUAUUUAAUUGGAAUUUGGACUGACUUGACAAUAAACUAUUGCAAGUUGAUAUUGAAGGUAGUAAAAUCAUUUAAUUAAUUUAAAAUUUAGAAAUCGGUUGAGUUUUAAUUUGAUUAGUAUUAGUAUUGUUGUCAGUGUAAAGAGGAGGUGCUGAAGUUUAUUAUCCUCCUAUUUAAGAAUUUGGAGAGAGAUUAUAGAUCAUUUUAGACAUUGUAUAAAAAAACAGAUAUAAUAAGAACUUAUAACGACGAGAUAACAAUAUUUCAAAUUUUCUAUAAAAUUUUAAAAAAAAUUCAUCACUUGUGUAUUAAAUAAUAAUGUAUAUAAAUAAAGAAGAUUAUAUACAGAAAGAGCCAAAGUAAUAUAAAAUUUCAAGUCAAACUCCUAACUAACAACAACUUGAAAUUAAAGGACCAUUAAUAUAAUUUAUGUUUUUUUUUGGGUAUACUAUUAUGGCAAUUAUCAAAGCUGUAUCAAUAUCGUCAAACUAAUAAAAAAAACUAUAUAUAUAUAUAUAUAUAUAUAUUCGUACAUCAAAAACCAUAUUAAAUCUUAUUAAAAUGAUAAAAAUUAAAUUAUGACAGUGCAUGAUGUGGGCAGUGGCAGGGUGUAGUGUAGACGCAUGGUCCUCAUUGUAAAAUUUUAAUUUACAUCUUUUAUAAUUUAUACAAUUAUAAAUUAAUGGUAAAAUUGUAUUUUAGUCCCCUCAAAAUUAUAAAAAUUUUGAUUUAUCCCUUUAAAAAUUAUAAAGAUAUAAAUUAUUAAAGUGAUAAAAUUACUUUUUUAUUAUCAUAAAAAUUCAGGCUCCGUCAAUGAAUGUGGGUAAAAAAGUUAUGCCUAAAAGCAAAUGAGAUUUUGGUUGAAAUGAUGAAAUCUAUAAUGUCUUAGAUUUAAAUUUGUGGAUAAUUCUUAAGUUUAAAUUGGGGGAGAAUGUCUAAAAUUAUACAUGAACUUUGGUGCAAUAUGUAAUUAGACCUAUUUAUGGGCCGGACUACCUACCCAAAGUUUGGGAGGGUUUGAAUAAAAAUAUUAGGCCUAAAAAAUAGGUUUGGGUAAAAAAAUUAGGCCCCUUUUAAAAUAUGGAUCAGGCUCGAGCUUGAACAUUUAAGGCUUGAGCCCAACCUGACCCGACUCAACCUGUUUUUAAAUUUAUAAUACUUUAUAUUAUGUUAUUUUUAUAUAUUAUGUAAUUUGUAACACAUUAAAAAAAUAAACCUGUACUAAAGAUAUAAUUCUAUUCUAAUGUACAUAUUAAAAUAAUGUUAAGAAGACUAUAUAACAAUUUUCAAUUAAUAAAAAAAUAAAAUUAUGUAUAUUAAAAUAAAAUAAAUCUUUUUAAAAAAUAUUUAAAAUAUAAUAUGGGCAGGCCUAAAAUGACUUGGGUUAGUCUUUUGCAAAUAUGAGUGAGUUUGCGCAAAAUUUUAAACCAAUAUUUUGGGUCGGGCUGGGCUAAACAAACAUAAAGUAUGUUAAUAUCAUGUUUAGAUCUGGCCCAUGAGCACCUCUAUAUGAAAUGCUAUACACAAACUAUAAUUUUAUGCAAUUUUAUAUAUUAACUUAAUGUUAACUUAAUUCAAUUUUCACAAAUCACCAACAUAAUUAUCAAUAUAACAUCUUUUACAUUAACCUACCACAUUCACAAAUAAUUAUAUUUAUUCAAUAUAAAAAUAAGUUAACGUAUUUAUUUCUUCAAAUGUGUACAAUAAAGUCAAAAUCAAAUUUCCAUACCUACAUUUGAAUAGCAAUUAAAGUUUCAUUAAUAUAAUUGCAUCAAAGUUUUUAUAUUUAUCCUUUAAAUUGAUUUUUAUAAAUUUUAUAUAUAAUAUAAAAAGGCAAAAACACUUUGUGACUAUUGAGAGAGGUAUCCAUAGACCUCAAAAAGAUUCAUUUUCAUGGACCUUAGAACGAACAUGAAGGACACAUUGACCAUGGAAAAAAAUAUCAAAUCACUUUUUUUUUAUGAGUUACUAUAAUGACUCUACAAUGCUUAGAACAAGUUUUCAAUUAAAAUUAUGUGAGAGAAUAUUGCUAAUGAAACCUUAUUAAUGAAAUAUUUUUUAAUUUUUCAUGCUUCAAAUAUGUCAUUAAAGAACCAGGUAUUAAAUAAAUAAAUAAUUAUUAGAUUUAUUUCAUUCCCUGAAACGAAUAUAGUAUAUUUAACAUAAAUAUAAUAAGUAAUUAUAUAAUAAUCGUAAAAGGAAUAAUCAUAUUAAUAGAUAAAUAAGAGAAGAAUGAUAAUUCUAAAAACAACCUUUUAAAUGCGUGAUUGAGAACAAUAACAUGCUUGAAAGUGAUAAGCUUAUGGUGUUCAACGACCUAUCAUCUUUGCUAGGAUGGGAAGCUGAUUGCACACAUCUUUUGUAAUCGAUCAUGUUAACUAUGGUUAUUACCUUUCUGAUGAACCCAAUUUCUCUAUUUUAAUUUAGCAUAAUUAAUUAGUUGUUUUAUUUUUAUAAUAUUAUUUGUAUAUUUAAAUUGAUAACACCAAAUGAUUGGUGUGAUUUAUUUUUGCACAGUAAUUAUUAAUAAUAUUAUUAAUUUUAACCUACUUAUAGCAUUAUAAAAAUAGAAGGAUGAAGUUCCACCAAAAUAAAAUAAAGGAAUUGAAUUUUGCAUUUCAACAUAAUUGAAGAACUAAAAAACUAUCAAAAAAUAAAUGAGAUGAGUGAAAUUUAAAAAUUUCAUCUUGAAUUUAUCAAAUAAUAAUCCAUAUGUUUGUUAUUUAGUCUAUUUUUAAUUUUUAGCACGAUGGAAUGUGAUAAAAACACAUCAUAGGUUUAUAUCGAAGCAACAAUAUGAUUUUAGUUAUUAUCGAUCCAACUAAAUUAAUACUUGAUUAAUUCAACCAAUGCUUUAAUAUAUAAAAUAGUAUAGAAAUAUGUCUUGAUAACCCACUGUAACAUUUUUUAAGAAGAAAAUAAUGUAAGUGUAGCUAAUUAAGGGUUCGUUUAACAUUACUUUUGAAAAAUAUUUUUAAAAAUUACUUUUUAAAAGUACUUUUGAGAAUUUUUUUGAAAAGUUUGGUCUAGAUAUAAGUGUUUAGUAUUACUAUCAAAAAGUACUUUUAAGAAAUAAAAUAUCCAUUUUAGACAUGGUAUUAUAAAGUAACAAAUAUGCAUUUAGAUAAUGUUUAAAUUAGUUAAUAUCAUGAUAUUUUAGUAAUAAUAUAAAAAUAAUUUAUUAUAACUUGUUAAUAUUUUAAUAUAUGAAAAUAUAAAUUUUAAAUAUUUUUAAACAAUUAAUAUUAAUUAUUUAUAAAAUUUAAUUCGAACAUAUAAACUAUAUUUUAAAUAUUUAAGUAUAACCAUUAAAUAUUUGUAAUUAGAUAUUAACACAUUUGCAUUAUUUUAAAAAAAUACUUUUUUAUUUUUAAUUAAUGAUUUUAAUACAUUUUUAUUAUUUUAUUUUAAAAUGUAAUUUGAAUAUAUAAUCCAUAUUAGAUAUUAACAUAACAAAGAAAAUAUAAACCUAACAAAUUAAAAUAGGCUUAAGGGUGUAAAAAGGCCUCAAACUUUUCAAAAAAAAAAAACAAUUAAGCCCCUCCUUUUUUUUUUUUGCACUCAAUUGAAUACUGGAACUUUCAAAAUGCAUCAAAAAGCCCUCAAACUUCUUCCAAAAAAGUAAUUAAGCCCCAGCUCUUUUUUUUCCCACUCAAUUGGAUACUUGAACUUUCAAAAUGCAUCAAAAAGACCCUUAAAUUUUUUCAAAAAUUCAAUUAAGCCCCUGCUCUUAUUAAAAAUUAGAAAAAAAGUAUAAAAAUAAUAAAUAAUAAAUUUUAGAAAAAAUUUAUUAAAUUUUAAUAAAAAUAUAAAAAAUUAGAAAUUUGUUAAAAAUUAGGAUUUUUUUAUAAAAAUAUUAAAAAAUAAAAAAAAUGUAAAAUUUUAUAAAUAUCAUAAAAAAUUAAAAACCCCUAGUUCUUUUUCAAUUAAAGUCACCAUGUGUCGCAACAUAAUGUGUUAUGUGGUGAAAAAUGAUAAAAAAAAUCAAUAAAAGUUAUAAAAAAUUAUAAAAUACUUCUUUUAGUACGAUAUUUUUAUAAAAUGUUUUUACAAAAUUUAUAUUUCUUUAUAUUUUGUAUAAUUUUCUUACGACAUUAUAAAAUUUUAUAACUUUUUUUAUAUUUCUAUAUAUUUUAUAAUUUUUUACGAUUUUUAUAAAAUUUUAUAUUUUUUAUGAUUUUUAUAUAAAAUUUUCUAAUUUUUAAUAAAUUUUAAAUUUUUAUAUUUUUGUUAAAAUUUAUUAAUUUUUUCUAGUUUUUAACAAAAGCAGUGGCUUGAUUACUUUUUUUGAAAAAGAAUUGAGAGUCUUUUUGAUGCAUUUUGAAAGUUCAAAUAUCCAAAUGAGUGUAAAAAAAAAAGCAAGAAUUUAAUUACUUUUUCUAAAAAAGUUGAAGGGUUUUUUACGCCCUUAAGCCAAUUAAAAUAUUAUAUGUAUUUGAAUUAAAGUUUAAAAAAUAGGUAAUAUUUAUAUACUAAAUAUAAAUAUUAAAAAUUUUACAUUAACAUUUACAAGUACUCUUCCACUGCUACUUCACAAAUCAAAUUCUAUUCAAAGAAAGUGCUAUUACUUUAUUGUAUUUCAAUCUAUCCUAAAAUCAAAUCCAAAUUAGGAUGUCAUUAUACAAAUAUUCUCCACAAAAGUAGAUUGAAAAUGGUCCUAAAAUUGCAGGCAAUUUGUACAUAAAUCUACAUCACAAAAAUUAAAUCUACAAUCCAACAACAGAAUCAAUAUCAUUAAGAUGUUUCUUAGCAACUAAACAGAAAACCCAAAAAAAUCAAAGGAGAAAAAGAAGGCAGGCAAAAAGAGAUUAACCUGAAAUAGGGAAAAAAACGAGAGAAAGUUAAAUGGAGAGAUGAAAUGAUAGAUGGGAUUAGGGGAGUAGAAAGGGAUAGUGUGAGAGAGAGAGAGCAACAAAAACCCUUGGAGAAAAUGAAAGAAGGGAGAACCAGAGAAAAAAAAGGGAAAGUAUCGUUGGAUUAGAGAUGAAAAAGUAAUUAAGCACUAAAAAGUGUUUUGGGAGAAGAAAAACUAAAAAUUUUAGCAUCUCCAUUUGGUCAAAAGUAGUUUUAAAAAGCCAAAAAUCUCACAAAAAAGUUACAUUUUUAGCGAACUUUUCUCCCAAAAGUGAUUUUCAAGGCAAAAAUGCUUAUUCACGUCAAUACAAAACAAGUCCUUAGCCUUAGCAUGAUUAGUAUCGACAUUGCUGUCAGUGUAAGAAGACGUGGGUUUGAAUGUAUUAAACAGUAUUAUCCUCCUAUCUAAGGGUUGAUGAGAAACUAUAGGUAAUUUUACACAUUAUAUCAAAAAAAUAUUAAUAUUAAGAAAAAAUUCUUGUAAAUGUGAACACAUACCUACCUUUAAUUCUCUCAUUUCUACCCUCAUUUUCAUUCCAUUCUCUUACAUGAAUGCAUAUACAACACUCUUUUACCACACAUAAAACAAAUUACCACAUCUUUAAAUAAUCAAAUGCCAAUUCUCUCUUUUCAUACUUCUUUUUCAAGCUUUUGCCUCUCACCUAUGUUUUAAACCUGGAGAGAUUCCUUGAAUACAGAGUAGUAAAUUAACAGCUGUCAUAUUUUGAAGCUAGCAGAUCCCCUUUUAUCUAUAUAUAUAUAUGUCGUUGAAUAGAAGAAGGGGAAGAAUUUUGGGUUGGGAAGAAAGAGCUGAAACAAUGGGCAGAAAACCAUGUUGUCUCAAAGAGGGAGUUAAUAGAGGAGCAUGGUCUUUCAAGGAAGAUCAACUUUUAAGCAACUACAUUAAUCUCCAUGGUGAAGGACAAUGGAGAACUCUCCCUCAAAAAGCCGGUAUAUAUGUAAUAGCAAUCACUUUUUUAUUUCACUUCAUAACCUAUCUUCUUACUCUUGAAUGUGCUGGUUUUUAUGGCUGAAAAACCAGGUUUGAAUCGAUGUGGGAAGAGCUGUAGGCUACGAUGGAUGAAUUACUUGAAACCUGGUAUUAAGAGAGGUAACAUUUCUCCUGAUGAAGAAGACCUUAUCAUUAGACUUCAUCGUCUUCUUGGUAACAGGUAACUACUUUUUCAUUCUUUUUUUUUUUUAAUUUUAUAUUCUAGUCUAUUUCUGAUUUAAGUCCCUCUAUUAUCUUGAAAUUUAAGGCCCCUCCAGAAAUGGUUUUUAAUUUGUCUGCACUAGAAAUGGUAAAAUUUUAAAUUAAUUAAUAUAGUGAUAAAAUUACAUUUUAACACCUUCAAAAGUUUAUAACUUAAUAUUUCCCCCUCAAAAAAAAUUUUGAACGUCGCCUCUUAUCAUUAUCAAUUAACCAUUAAUUUACACUUUAAAGAUAGCAAUUAACAAUGUGUUAUCAAUUUGGAGCUACUAAUAACAUUAUAAAAGUAGAGGCAGAGGUGAAGGUAAAAAAUAAUUUUUUCUGGGGAGGUAUCAAGUUGUAAAUUUUGAUAAGAGUGAAAAUCAGGGGUGAAGUCAGAAAAUUUUUUUAGGGGCGAAUGAAAUUUUAAUUUUUAGUAGUCUAUAUGUUUAUAAUUUUUGAAGGAUUAAAUCAAAUUUUUAUAAUUUUAGGGGAGCCAAAGUAUAAUUUAACCUUUACUAAUUUAAAAUUCUAAAAAAUUUAAAGGGCCUAAAUAGUAAUUUUCCAUUUUAAGGGGGUCGGGGCCCCCUGCCAGCCCUUAGAUUCGCCUCUAGUUAAAAUUUAAUUUCGCCAUUGUAUUAGCUAAUAUCCUAGAUUCGCCUCUAGUUAAAAUGUAAUUUCACCAUUGUAUUAGGUAAUAUCUUUAUAAUUUUUUAAAAGACUAAAUUGAAUUCUUAUCACUUUUGGGGGUAAAGUGUAGUUUUAUUAUUACUAAUUUAUAGUUUUAUACAUUGUAAAGGGUAAAAAUGCAAUUUUCUAAUUUUUGGGGGUUAAGCCCUGCCUCUCCUCCCGCCACCUGAUGGAAUUAUAUCAAACAAAAUUAGAGAUUAAAUCUUAAAUUUUUCAACAUAGUAGAGGCACUAUAACUACAAUUAGACCUUUUAAUUUCUUGAAUUUUUUUUUUUAUAUAUUGGAAUUUUGCAGGUGGUCUUUGAUAGCCGGACGGCUCCCAGGACGAACAGACAACGAGAUCAAGAACUACUGGAACACCAUACUAUCAAAAAAGUUGAAUGCCGAUGUUUCAAAGAAAACAUCUGAAAGUGAAGACAUGAAAUCUAUCGAAAAAUAUUUAUCGGCCGGCAUUAUUACUCCGGUUGUACCAAAGGCCACUCGUUGCACUAGGAUUUUCUUCUCAUCUGACGAAGUUCAACACUUGAAGAACAACCAAUGCCCUCCUUUGUCAACCCCGACGGAUACCGAUGAUGGGUUAACGUUGGAAUCUUCCAAGGAUAACGAUGUUCCCGACAUGGAUAACGCUUUGGAUGACGUUGGUUUCUCACAAAAUGGGAUAGCGGACGUGUUUGAGAACAGUAACAUGCUCGAAAGAGAUGAGCUUGCACCAAUGUUUGAAACGAAGUUCAAUAAUGACUUAUCAUCUUUGCUUGAAUUCGAAGAUGAUUGGACAAAUUUUUUGUAGUCGAUUAAACUCUCCCUUACUCAUUCUAAAUGCUUACAAUUUCUAUUUUUGUCACUCCAAAAAAUUAAAUUUAUUAAAUUAGCCACUCCACUAUUAAAUAGUGGCGGAAGUCUAAUGAUGCAUUUUUAUAUUAGUUACUAAGUAAUAAACUAAGGUAUCUUUUAUAUAUAUAAAUACAAGUAAAAGUAUUAUGGAGAUGCUUGAUUUAAGAGUUGGAUUAUAUUUGUGUCUCCCUUACUAAAAAAAGACAAAUUAAAUUUUAUACAUUAAAUCAAAGAGUAAACUGAUUCUUCUGUUAAAAAUUUUAUCUAUUUCUACAAUUAAAAAUUGCCCUGUAUGUCAGCAUGAGGUACAUGUGGCAUGCGACGUGUAACUAUUUGGUUAUUUUGUUAGUCAAACUAGUUUAUAAUAGUAGAAACGGAUGAAUUUUUUGUGGACAUGAGUCUAAAGAGGUCCUACACGUUCUUAGAGAUUGCCCUGCUGCUAGAAGCAUUUGGGACAAAAUCGUUCUAGAUGGAACACUCUCAAGCUUUUACACCAAAUCUCUUUAGGAAUGGAUAACGGGCAACUUUCAGAUGCAUCAACAUUUUUCUUUGGUCAGGAUUGAUUAGCUGUCUUUUUUGGGAUCAUCUCUUGCCUCUUGGUGUAUUUAGAAAAACUGCAACCUGUUUUCCUUUCAAGGUAUUUCAUGGAGCACUGACAAAGUUCUUAAAGUUUCUCUUAGCUAGGCAAGACAAUAUACCUUCGCUUUUAAGUCAUUAACACAUAGAAUCCAAAGGUCUUUUGAUAGUUCACCUAUGGAAAAAAAAUUGGGUGUGCUUAAAUAUGGAUGGUUCAAUGAGAUAGGAUGAAGGAUUUGUUGCAGCAGGAAGCUUAGUGCAGGAUCAAAAUGGUAGAUGGAUCAUUGGGUUUAACAGAUACUUGGGAAAUUGUACAGUGACGGAGGCUAAACUUGGGUAUCUUGGAUGGGUUAAAACUUAUUUUAGAUAGAAUAUUUGAAAGAGUCUUAAUUCAAACAAACAGUCUAGAAGGCUACUACUACCAUUCAGGAACGUGCCUUUAGAAUCUCAAACUCAACACUCCUUAGAAGAAUUCAUCAUAUCCUGAAAAAGAUAAAGUAGUGGAAGAUUCAACAUAUCCCCUGGGAGGAAAACACAAUUACAGAUAGACUUAUCAAGAUGAUUCGUGAUAGAAAGUCAGGUUUAAGAUUGUUUGAGGAUCCUCCAUUGAAUGUCUAGUUUUUUUAGUCUAUAUCUUGUAUUUUUCACCAAUUUUUUUAUUAAAAUACCCUCUCAUUUACAAAUUAAAUUAUAUUUUAUGAAGGCAUUUUUAUCUUUUUUAUAUAAUAAAUCAAUAAAAAUUUGGUCAUAAUUUGAACCCAAAUCCCCAUGCUUGGUAAACAAUUAAUUUUACUAUUGUAACCAAAUCAUCAAUUAACUUUUAUAUAAAUUUUUAAUAAAUAUAUUUGUUACAUAUUUUUUACUUAUAUCGUGAGUGUAUCAUAAAUCUAAGAAUAAUAAUAAUAAUAAUAAAUUUUAAAAAUUAUUGUGUAUAAAUAAAAAUAAUAUAAAAUUAAUCCAUAAUAUAUUAAUAUUUUAAAAAUUAAUUUUUUAAAUAUGAAUUCAAGCUAGUUAGGUAAGAAUUUGCAGAAUCUUUAUCCAGAAUCUAGCUAUGCCGAGUGGGCUAAUUUUUAAAAUUAAUUAAUAAUAAUAGCUGCUACAAUUUUUACAUGCUAGACAUUUAUGGUCCACCUCAACCUAAAUAAAAUAAUAGAAAUACGUUGCAUGUACAUUAUAUAUUGGUUGACUUUUUGUAUGGUUUUGGUCUUCUUUGAUCUGUCACAUUAAUUCACCAAAUUAAUGUAAAAUAAAAUAAAAAUUUGAAAUUAUUUAAUAACAAAAAUAUUUUAAAAAAAUGACUUAAUUCACUUUCUCGGGGGAGACUUACUUCACUUAGGGCAUGGCUUUUCCCCUUACACAAAAUAUUGUUUUCUAUGCAAUCAAAUUUAGUAUUAAUGUAUUUUAAAUAAAAAUAUUUAAAUAAUAAUUUUAAAAUAUUAAAAUCUUAUGUCAACUGGUACGAGUUUAUAUGCACUAGUAUGAAUUAAUAUUAAUUGGAAUGGAUUAAAACACAUUGGUACAAUCUGUACUAACCAAAAUUUACAGUAGAAUGAAAAAUAUAAUUUUUUUUUCAGUUUACAACUGGAAUAAAAUGUUCCAACCGAUAUAAGCAAUGUCGGUACAAAUUUGAUUUCCUUAGUAUUGUAUAUAAUAGUUUCAAAAUAUAUAAAAUAUUAUACCAAUAAGUGUUGAGUAUUCCGAAUGGAAAAAAACAUAUUUAAAAUUUGGAGAUAACUUUGUUGGGAGUGGCCAUAAUGAACCUUAAACAUAGACUGUAAAAUCGGAUAUUAUGAGUACUAAUAAAUAUGUAUAUAUAAUAUUUUAAUGACAUAAUUUGAUACUUGAGUUUGACACUUUUUUUAUCUAAUGUGAUACAUGUGUUAUUUUUUUGUCUAACAUGAUACUUGUAUUUGACAAAAGUUAUAAAUUUUGGUACUUGAAAAUAACAAUGUUAACCUUUUAGUGUUUAAUUCGAGUUUUAAAGUUGAUUUGAUGAAAUUCAUAAUUAGCUAAUAAUAUUAGCAAUUAACUUUCAUAAAUCUCAUCCAUCGAUCGGGUUGUGUUUGACAAAGUAACUAUUAAAAAAUUAACAUCGCUAUUUUUAAGUACCAAAAUAUAUAACUUUUGUCAAAUACAGAUAUUUAAUUGAAUAAACUCGAAUAUUACAUAAUGUAUUAAACCUAUUUUAAAAUUAAUUUUUAUAUUGUAACAUGUCUAAAUAAGAGUUUUGGAUAAAGAAAUUGAAAUUUUCCUUGUAUAUGUGACAUCCUAUGAAUGUGAAAAGUGAAUCCAGUCAUCAAUUAGGAGACACCGAGACAGCAUAAUAAGUCCACAGCUUUAAUGCUUCCAAUAGAAUUAUAGAAAGCAUACAAUUGUGGACAAAAUUCAAAGGUCCAACACAGAAAAUAAAUUAUGCUUUAAUUUUAUGAUUUUUUUAAUUAGGCCCAAACUUUUUCUUAUCAAUUUCCCAAUUUGGAAAAUUUGGACAAGGCCUAAGAGUAUAGACUCAACAACAGCUGGAAAUUAGGGAUCUCAUUGUAUUUUUAAAGGUAAAAUCAUGGUUUUAGCCCUUUAGGGUUUUCAUUAUUUCGAAAUAUGAAUAGACGUGAUGUCAAAUUUUUUGUGUUAGACGUUGAAACUAGAUUAAAAAAAUUUAGCGAUUUUUUUUAAUAAUUUCGUUAUAGGUUUUAAUCAUAUUUGUUCUUUUUGACAUAAUUCCUAGAACUACUCAUAACUCCCCCUUAACCCAUAAAUAGGAGGAUAAUACACUUCAAAGCACUCGAACUGACGUCCUCCUGCAUUAGUAAUAAUGUUCAUGUCAAUCAAACUACGACUCAAUUGACAAUUUUAGCAAUUUAAUUUUAGCGAUUUAAAAGCAUAAAUUUUAUACAAACAACUUUCCCUAUAACAACCAUGCAUUAUAAUAGUAUUUCAUUAGAAUAACAUGUUUAUUGUAGAACCGGUUGUUUUUAUAAUUUUUAGGUUUAAAUGAUAAAUUUGGCUAUUAACGUUUUCAUGUUCUAUCAAAAUGACUCUAAUUGUAUUUUUUGAACAUUUUUUGGCCGUCAACCUUUUUUCCAAUCUACUUUUUAUAACAGAUUUAAUGAAAGUACCUUUAAAAAAGUUAAAGAAGAUGAUGUGGAAUUUCAUAUAUGGAAUUUUUUUAAUGAGAUGUAAUUUAUUACUUAGAUAACUCAAUAAAAUAAUUACAUGAGGAAAACAAUAAAAUAAAUAAAUAAUACAUUAAAUUAAAAAAAUCUUAAUUUAAAGAAAAUAAACGUAAUUAUCUAAAAAAACUAACUGAGUAGAAAAACUUCUCAGUAUACAAACGUAUGAGAGAUUGAAACCUUUUGAAAAAAAAAAGAAAAAGAAAAAUUGUAACUUUAAAUUUAUUCAUUAAAUCGGUUGAAAAAACAUAUUGAAAAAAAAAAAGGUUGAUGGCCAAAAAAGACUAAAAAAUACAAUUAGAGCCAUUUUGACAAACCAUGCAAACGAUAGUGACCAUAUCUAUUAUUAAGCCUAAUUUUUACAACUUUUUAACUAUAACAAUAACAAUCCUAAAGUAUGGAUUAUACCCUUUACAAAAUAAGUUCUCUAUUACAACCUUAGCCACUUACCUUAAAUUUUAGUAAAAUUAAUUUUAUUUUUAAGUGAAAUAAAAAUAAUAAUUUUUACAUGAUCUAUUACUUCAAUAAAAUGUUUAAAUUUUAUAUAAAAAUUUAUUAAUCAUAUAUCAUUAAAUGAUAAUAAUCUUUAAUAAUUAGAAUUACAUUUAUAAGUUUUAUUAAUGAUGCGAUUUAAAUCUCACUAAUAAAUAUUAAUAAUAUAUUAUGAUUUUAAAUUUUAAAUUUAAAAAAAUUAAAUAUGAUCUAAUUCUUAAAUGUUGUUAGAAGUGUCUCGAAUGUUGUUAUAAGUGUAUAACAACCGUCUCUCUAACUUUCAAAAUUUGGAUACAUAAAUGGAUUAUUAUAAAGAUAAUUGAUUGUAUCUAAAAAAAAUAAAUUCAACUAUAAAUCUUUGGAAAUUGCUAAAAGAAAAUUAUAACAAUUUCAACUAAGGGAGGUAAAACCCAUGGUUGCCACCCUUGAAUCUGCCCCUAAAUAUAAGAUUUUUUAUACUUAAUAUAAUUUGAUGUCUUCAAUUUUAUUGGUAGAAGGUAAGGGGGAAUGGGUUAUCCAAGGCAUCAACCUAAGAUUAGAUGUUAAUGCAAUACUUAAACCAAUAAGUUUUGUGGUUGAUGGUCAUGUCAAAAUACAUUUUUAGGGAGGCAAAAGCAGUUGGUGAGACUAUCUAUCAACAAUGAAUCAUAGUUACAAAUCUUCAACAAAGCUCCUAUAUUAGUGGAGAAUGCAGUGUUAGGAGACAUGUUUGGUGUAACCCAUGACCCUAAUUGUGUUAUGUGAUUUUUGUUAGCUUUAGGAUAGCAUCUUUUUUUAAUUCCAAAUUAAACUUGAUUAUAGGCUGGAUCGCGAAGAUUCGUUCGAAAAAUGAAAAGAUUUUUAUAAAAAUAUAGGUUUGAAAAAUAAACUUGGGUAAAAAAAUGAGGCCUAUUUUUUAUACAGGUCGGGUAAGCUUUUUUAACUCAACCCAAAUUUGCAAGAAAAAAAUCCUGCUACUUUUUGUUGUUGGUUUGAUAUUAUUUCGCUAUUAUAUUGUUACUGUUUUGUUGUUAUUGUUUAGAUAUUGUACAACUCUUGUUUUAUUGUUAAUUUUGCUACUAUUUUAGCAGUAUUUACUUACUAAGUUGCAUCUAUUUUAAUGUUAUUUAAGUUUAAAUAAUGUUUUUAGUAUACUUUAUGUACUAUAUUUUUUAAAUUUAUUUUUAUAUAAAAAUAAUAAUAUAAAAAAAUUAAUAGGAGCGGGCCGACUCGAGUUUGGGUUUUAUUAUUUUUAUGCAAACCGGACUUGAGUAAAAUUUUAAGCCCAUUUUUCAAGUCGGACCUUGACAUAAAAAAAUAGGUCUAAAAUUUUAUUGAGAUCCAACUUGACUCGACCCAUAAUUAUCUCUACACCAAAUGAAACCAAUGCAAUGCAAACUUUUUAACUAUUAUUUGGUAACAUGGUGAGAGUGACAUGGAAAUUUAGUAAAAAUUAUUUAAUUAAUAAUACAGAAAAUAAAAUUAUGGAUUUAAACUUAUAUAAAAACAUUACAAAAAUUGACAUCUCAAAUUUCAUUAAUAAAACCAUUUUUGAAUAACAUCAUUAGCAUGAUCUAUUUGAUGCACUAUUUAUGUUGAGGCUAUUGAACCUACAUUAUCCAUCUACUCAAUCUCUGAGUGGAUGCAAUAUUCAAUGAGACCACCUAUCGUAAUUAAUAGGUAAACUUUUAUUGUUGGUUCUAUAAAUUUUCUUUCCAUUAUUGUUCAUCCAAGAGUAAUCCAAUUCUUAAUCUCAUAUAAUUCACAAUUUUAGCUACUAUAGUCUUGGCAUUAGUCCCCUACAUAUCACCAUUCCAAAUCCCUUUACUCUAUAAACUAUAUAUACAAGGACGUGUGAAGUUAGCUCUCAUUUCACAUUAUAAAAAUCACAAUAUUUCAAUUUUGAUCCUUCUUUAUGCCUAGAUUUGAGAUUUAAUUUUUAAUUGAAUUUAAUUCUUAUAUUUUUAUAAUUUUAUUAGUUAGUUCAAAUAAUUAAUAUUGUUAACUAUUCGAAGAAAAAAAAAUCUAUUCUGACAUUAUGAGAUGAAAUAAUGAUUAAGGAUACUAAUUAAUGAGGUUAUAAUAAUAAAGGCAGCAAAUUAGAUCAAAUAAAAAGUAUACAAAUUAAAUCAUAAAUUUAAGUAUAAUAGAGUGAUGAAUACCACGAUAUGGCUUAAGACCACCUAUACCUAAUACAAUUGUUUCUUAUAUAUAUAUAGUAAUUGAAUGUAUAAUAGAAAAUAAAAUAUUCAACAAUUUUUAAUAUCUUUUUACAGAUUUAUAUAUAUUACAUAUUUGAAUAUUAAAUUUAUUAUGAAAGAACAAAGACAAUAAUUGCAAGCAGAAGCAAUGCUUAAUAAUAAUGCCAAAAACUAAGGUACUAGUGAAGAAUAAAGUAGAAAAACAAACAACAUUCAAAAUGUUUAUGCAAUUCGGUUUUUCGAUAUCUGUAGGGUUGUCGAGGUUUUAUUCAGAGAGAUAAUUUACUAUCUUAACACCUCAUACAACAAGUGAUUACGAGAACUGGCACUCACUAGAUUAGCAAUCUCACAUUUGCACCUAAGAUCUAGAUCACUCUCCUCUAAGUUUUCCCCUUGAAAACUUAGGAUAAAAACCAAGUGAUUCACUUGGUUUCUUACAAAAUGAACUCUAAAAAAACAAGUUCUAAAUAACAAAAAAUGUGUUAAACUUCUCCACACCUUUUACCUACACAAACCAUUAAUAUAUAAGAGUUUAAGGCUGAUUAACAUAAAAAUUAAUUACCAUCAAUCGUCCCAUCAAAAUAAUAAGAUAAUAAGCAUAUAAAAUAUCUUCAAUAAGUUCAAGAUAAUUCUUCAAAUUUUCAAGAAACGUUAUCAAGUUACCCAAACCAAUUCAAUCUUCUCAAAAUAGGAAAGCCGAUUUGCUUGAUCCAAUCUAAACCAAUAUUCAAGUUAUGUUCCUAUAAUAGAUUUAGAUAUCAUAUAUGAGCUUACAUAUGUCCACAUAAUUAACAAAGAGCACAUCCUAAAGAUUUUGUUAACAAAAAUUGUCAACUCCAUAUGAGACAAGUUAUAAGGCUGAGCAAUGCUAUAUAGUAGAAUGCACUAGUCUAGAAACUAUUCAUAAUUGUCUCAACAAUAAAACCCAUAUUAAGGUUGGACAAGCCUUCCAUAUUUGGAGCAUGAAUCCAACUUCACUAAGCAAACUUCGAUCCAUCAUGAUCUACCCAGAUUUCAUCAAAUAAAUUACUCUUUGUCUUUGUAUAAGGAAACAAAAGAUCAUAAUACUAAAUAUUUUAAUGCAAAUAUUUUAGAUACUAAUUCACUACUUAAAUUCACUUUUAUCUUAAUGCAAAUAUUUUAAAUAUUUAAAUUUUAAUCAGAAUUAGAAUCACUCAUAAUACUAAAUAUUUUAGAUAUUCAAAUAGAAUAUUCAUUUUUAUUGUUUAAAAAUAAUGUAAUAAAUUUUAAUGUUUUUAAAAAUCUAAUUAAUAUAUUUUAUUUUAAAAAUCUAAUCAAUUCACAAAAUUAUUAUUUACCAUUGAAAAACAUGCCAUAUGGAUAAUUGAUUUUAAUGGACAUGAUGAAAGAGAUAAAGGCAUAAACAUUAUUAGACAAAUUUUAAUUGGCAUUCCAUUUGAUUAAACAAAAAGCCAUUUAACCAUCAAAUGAACACCCUUGGAAAUUUUGAGAAAAAAUACCUAGUAGGUUUAACAUAUCAACACCAAAAACUACACACACAUCAUUUUGAUUUAAGAUCAUGUUCCUAACAUGAAGAUGGUGGAGAAUACAACUGCAAGACAAAAACAAACCAAAUCACAUGGCAUUAAGUCACCAAAGAGCAAAUAAACAAAAGGAUUAUAUAGUACUAUUUGUACUUUCAUGUAGCUAGUAAAUUAGUACUAAGAUUAACCUUGUACUAGAAAUUAACAUGAACAAUGAACCCUCCAAAAGAGGUGAUGAUAUUCACUUGACCCCAUUGGCAGGGGUUGAAAUAGCAAGAUCAGGCCAAGAAAAACAAUCCCCACCAACAAAUCCAGUCUCUGCACCUUCAAACUGCCAUGCAUUCCCCAUUCCCGUGGCAGCUCCACCAUUACCACGCCCACCACCACCACCAGCGGCCCCUCCAUCUCCUACGCAUGGCAAAGGCCACAUUCCUCUUCCAAGCCCAAACCCAACAUCAUCAAGUGAUGGAGCAAUACCUAGCCCAAACCCACCAAGUGCUAGAAAUCCAGGUCCUUGAGUAUUCAACAAUGAAGUGAAACUUCCAAAUAUAUUGCUUCCUUUGGACUCUCCACCGAUACUAAAGCUUCCUUGGUUGGAUGAGAUUGGCAACAAAACCGGGGUAGCAGGUAAUGGGAAGCUAUUAUAACUGGUUGUGGUGGCCGUGGUGGUGGUGGCGGCGGCACUAGGUGCAGCAUUGGUUGUGGAAAAGGUGGUGGUGGUGCCAAUGUUGCUACGUGAACGCUUAGCAUUUUUCCUAGUGCCACCACCAACAGGGAUGUCCCUAAGUGUACCACCAUGAGUCCAAUAACGUCUACACGACUUACAGAAAUAACGAGGCUGAGAAAAGUUAUAGUUGUUGUAAUAACAAAACUUCGUGUUAGUGGAAUCACAACGUGGGCAAAGCAGUUGUUCUUGUUCUGGUGGUGGGGCGCCAUUGUUAAGCCCCUUGUUAAAACGCCUACAUUGAUCUGCAGAACUGGAUGGCAUUUUCAAACCAAAACAGAAAAGAACAAAACAAGCUUAAGUUAGAGAGUAUCAAGGGGGGGGAGGGUUAUGGGGGGAAAAUGAGACAUGUUGUGAAGGGUUUAUAUUAUAAGAGAGAGAGAGAGAAGAGUGAAGAAAACACAGGCUUUUUACAGUGUUUUGUUAGGCACGAGAUUCUUUGAUCAGUGACUCUGCAGGAUGAGGUCUGACCCUCUGUGUUGAGGGUCGGCUCCAUCAGGUAUAGCAAUGCUGCAUGGUGUUGUUAGCUGUUUGAUUUUGGAUUUUUCUUUUUUUUUUAGUUUUUGGAUUUUGUAGAAUUAGGUAAAAUUACUGGGAGGUUACAUUAAAUUUUAUUUUGUUUCAUUUACAUAAAAUUAGUUAAAUUAAUUCUCGUAUGUUCAAUUAAAGAGAAAAAUGAUUAUUUUUGUUAAAAAUUUUAUUUGUUUUUACUAUUAAAAUUAGUCUAGCGGACUGACUAAUUAAAUAGUUAUGUGUGGUGUGCCACAUGUACUUUAUCUUGACAUGCAGAGACAGUUUUUUAACAAUAAAAAUUAAUAGAAUUUUUAACAAAAAGACUAAUUUACUUUUGAUAUAAUGUAUAGAGACUAAUUUACCUAUUUUUAGUAGAAAAAAUGCAAUUAGACUCCUAGGUACAGUAGGCUCAUGCCUAGAAAAGGAAAAAUUUAAAGGUUAAAUUCUACUAUUACUCUAUUAGUUCCUAUACUUGUUAAAAGUUAUGAAUUUAAUCUAUGUACUUUAAUUUGAUCAAUUUUAGUAUAUGUACUUUUCGAUUUGGUUAAUUUUAGUCUCUGUAUUUUUCAAAUUCUAAAAUUUUAGUUUGACCCAAACAAUAGUAGUUAAAUCAAUUCGGUUAUAUUCAAUUACUAGUCUUAUACUAUGCAUACCGUUGUAAAUUUAUUUCAUAUUCUCUAAUUUGAUAAUUUUAAGUCAUUAAAUUUUUCGAAUUUUAAAAUUUUAGUCUUGAUGCAAAUGACAAUAAUUAAUCCAUUAACUGAAUUUUUAGUGAGUAAUAUGUCAAAAUAGUAAGCCGACAUGACAUUACACAUAUGAUACAAUGUUUGCCGCAUCAAAUUUUGGAAAUAGAAGAACUUAAUGAAUUUAACAAUUAUCAUUUGGUGAGGACUAAAAUUAUAAAAUUUGAAAAGUAUAACAACUAAAAUGACCAAUUAAAUAUAGGGAUUAAAUCCACAACUUUCAUAAAAUAUAAGGACUUAUAGUAGAAUUUAACCAAACUAAAUCUAACGGAUAUAAAGCAGUCAAAUAAAGGUCCCAUUUUGGAUUUAUGUAAAUUAACAGUAGUGAAAAAGACGACAAAAUUCAAAAGGAUAUACAAAUUUGUCUAAUUCUGAUAAUGGCAGUAACUAAAUCAUAUUUAUGGUCAUAAUUUUGAGGGUUAAAAUAUGUUGUUAGUCCCUAUAUCCCUACAGAAUUUAAGAUUUAGUCUUUGUACUUUAAAAGUUAAAAAUUCAAUCUCAAAUCCUAGUCCAAGCAUUAUUGUUGUAGGUAAUUUCUAGCAAAAUUUGUCAACCUAACAUUUUUUUUCCUUUAAUCAUGUACCACAGUCAUAUGAGGACAUUUUAAUUACUAAGUCAAAUUAACAAAAAAAGGGAACGAUAUUAAUGAUUGGAUUGAAAAAAUUUUAAAUUAAAAAAGUAGAAGGACUUAAUUUUUAACUUUUUAAGUACAUAGAUUAAAUCUUAAAUUUAUCGAAAGAUAAAGACUAAUAGCAUAUUUCAACCUACCACUUUCAUAAUUAGGGCCGAGUAAAAAAAAUAAAAAAUCGAUCCAAACAGAUGUUGUUUGGAUGAUUUUGGUUCACAAAUUAAAAACUGUAGUUAACCGAAAUGAACUAAAUUUUUUUAAAUUUAAUUUAUAGUUAUUUUUAACUUUUUUAUAAUGUAAAAAUUAAAUAUUUUUCGAAAAUUUAAUUAUUUUUUUUUCUUGAAAAAUUAACUUUUUUGUUCGAAAUAAUAAUAAAAAACUUUAAAUAAGAUAAUAUCCAAAAACCAUUAAACAAAGAAGAUUUUAUUAAAAUAAAGUUCAAAAAUUCAAACCACAAAAUUAAUAUGAAAAAAUAAAGAAUUGAACCAAAAUAAAUUAUCAUAAAGGUUUUAAAAAAAUUUUGACCAAAUUGAACUGAACUCACUCUUAUUUAUAAUGUUGUUAGUAGAUCCAAUUUGAUAAUUAGUUGUUGUCAUUAAAAUGAUCACAUGAACUUUAUUUUUUUUAUCGAUAUUCAAUUAUAUAAUAAAGAUCACUCAAAAAUCUAGUUAAUCAUAUUCAACCGAUAAUAAGUUUACAUGUUAAUGAGAUUGUUUUAAAAAAUAAGUUCACAUAUUCAUUUAAUAGCAACAUCUAAAAAAUUUUCUAAUCUAUGAUAUUAUUUAAACCCCUCACUGAAUUAGUGUCACGAGUUAACCGAGCACAAACUCAAGUAAGAAAAUUACUAAACUACCAUUAUAUAUGUGAGACAAGUUAUAUUUUUAGAAUGAUACUUUUAUCUUCUUCUAUUUUAAAUGAAACCAAUAAAAAAUUAUAGAUGAUAUAAUUUGAACCCAUGUCAUCAGCACGACAUAAAAUCUCAAUUUUACCACUUCAACCAAAACUUCUAACUUGAUUUCUUUUGUAAAUUUUAAUAUUAUUACACAAACAUUGCUUACCCAUGUUAGAAUUUAUAUCAGAAGUCAACUUAAUACCUACUCGAUUGAGAAAAUUUACUAAAAUACUCUUAAUUUAAAAAAUAAUUACUAUUAUUAUAAGAAUAUUUUUGUUUUUUCAUACUUUUAUAUAAUCUUCAACUAAAUCAAUUGAAAAACGAAUCAAAUAUGAGACCACAAAUUUAUAUAGAAAUUUCUUAUAGGUGGAGCGGCUGGAGAUGGAUUGGCAACGGACUUGCCUCCCUCUGAAAAUAUAAAAUUUAAUUUUUAAUCUUUUAAAUUAAUAAAUGAUAAAAUUAUAUUUUGACCCCUAAAGCUUUCGUUACAAAAUACAACUAAAUUUCAUGUUGAAAAAUGUUUUAGGUUCCCACCUUUUCUCACUCCACCGUUGAUGAUAGGUGUAUUAAAAAUUUUCAUUCAAGUUUUCUUAAAAUUCUUUGUUUCACGUUUCUUUCACUCCAUUUUUAAUUUGCUAAAAUAGGAAGUAGACCAUUUCAACAACAAAUUUGUUCCCUAUGAAUAAAACUUUGGGGUGCAAAUUGUGGCAUUGCCAUCGUCCCAACAAUUAAAUAGACCGAACUGAAAGUAGUACAGACAAAGCAUGCCAAAGAGUUUCAGCUAAUAAUGUCGAAUUCCCGACAGGUUCUGGCCGAGCAAUGGGGGGGGCCAAAAGAAUUCGAAACAAACUGGAGUUUUGAUGGUCAAAAGAGUAAGAGGAUAGAGAUUGAUGGAAGGGGUGGUGGGGAUGGGGAUAGUACAGACAGAAUCAUGAGUUGUCGGACAGCGUGGGGUUCAAUUAUAGGGUCACCCCCUCUGAUUUUCCGACACCUCAUGUCCGUAUCAGAUUCCUGGUCCGUACCUUCCGGUCCUUUCCCGAUCUUCUUGCCGGAUUUCUCGCCCCUACUGUUACUGUUUCGCUGUUAGCCUUGGAUUGCUUCUCUUUGUUUUGGAUGUUCACCGUUGAUUUAGCUUCACGGUACUAGACCCAGCAGGAACCCGGGGCUGCCAUUGCAGGAAGAGAUGCUGUCCUAUAAUCUGGUGUUGGAUAAAAUGAACAGUGUCCUAGGUUUAUGAACCCUCUGUCCCUCUAUGAAGAAUCUUUUGCAAAAGAUUACAGAGUUUAUUAUGAAAGGGUAAACUAAACUUAAUAUGUUUCAUGCAUUACAAAUGGAGCCACUUGAUUUGAUUUUGGUAACGUUUAUGCUAUUCCUUAAUAUUUAGGGUAGAUUACACCCAAAGGUAAUUAAAUUAAUAGUAAAUUUAUAUUUUGGUUCCUCAACUUCAAAAAGUUACAAAAUGACCAUUAAACUAAUCAAAAAUUUUCCUUUUUAAGUUAAUGAACUAUUUUGAAAGUUUUUAUUUAAGUCAAUGGGAUAUUAAGUUUUUUUUAUUUAAAGUCCAGCUAGCGAGCUCUAAGCGACUAUCAAUACGGUGGAAGUACCCAUUGAUGAAUUGAAGAACAUAUUUUAGAUCGAAGUCAAUUUGAUAGUCAGUUUUGAAAAACAGAGAAGAAAGUUGUUUCAAAUUUGUUUCAUGAUAAAAAAAAUUGUAGAAGAGACAGGUAAUGAGAACUUUCAAUUGGUUUAUUGACCAUUUUGUAACGUUGAAUAGCUUAGUGACUUAUAUGAAAAUUUUUGAAUAGUUUAUUGACCAUUUUGUAAUUAUUUUGAGUUGAGUGACCUUGGAUGUAGUUUACCUUAAUUUUUAACUCACUACUGUACAUAUUAGUAGAUUGUAUAUAGGUUAAACUAUGCCAUAAUACCUUGUACUUUUUAAAUUUUUGAAAUUUAAUCCCUAUACUUUUAUUUCUAGAAAUUUAGUCUAUCUACUUUUCAGAUUUCAAAAUUUUAAUUGAUCCAACUGUUAAUUUUUUUUUGUUAAAUUAAGAUUAGUUACGUCUUUUUUUAAUUAUUUGGCUACUAAGUUUUUUUUUAUUUCAAAAUGUCACACCAACAAAUUUAACAAAAAAAAAUCAACAAUAUUAACAAUUGGACCUGAAUUUUGAAAUCUAAAAAGUAGAAGAACUAAAUUCUUAAAAAUAAAAGUAUAAUGACUAAAUUCAAAUUUUUGAAAAACAUAGACUUAUAACAUAUUUUAACUGGAAGUAUAUUCUUGAAUAAAUUAAAAAUUAAUAAUAGUAAGCUUGGGACACCUUUAUUUAACAUCUUAUUCGUAGCAUUGAUUUAAUACUAUAUCUUAAUUAAGCAUAAGUUCAAUUAGAAGAAAAUAAUUUACAUUCAAAAUAAAUUUUAAAAAAAACUUAUUUAUUACAAAUAGAAAUUAUUUAGUAGAUUUUCAUGUCACAUCACUCAUGAUCUCAUCUAAUAAUAUAAUGCCAUGUGAAAUGGGUAACUAAAAGAGAAAGUAAGGAAAAUCUCAUGUGAUGGCUUGAUGGUCAACGUGUUUAUCACUUUAAGUGUGACUUGAGUUUAAAUCGUGUUAGUCGUAUUUGUUGUAAUUAAAAAAGAAGAAGGAAGUAGAUGAUUUGAAAAUGAUGAGUUGGCAAAAAUUUUAAUCACCUGUAAAAAUAUUCCAUAUAAUAUUAUAUUAUUAGAUGGGAUCAUGAAUAAUUUGAUAAGGAGGACUUACCUAAUAAAAUUCCCCUACAAAUCUUAAACCUAAAAAACCAAAAUUUUAAAUUUCAAAUUGAACCUCAUCCAUCAUGAGUGUAUAUUGGGCUAAGUUUGGGUAAGUCAAAUUUUGUAUAGCUAAGCUUUGGGUUUUUCUUGUGGGCAGCAUCCUUCACCAUUUAUAAAAAGGGGACAAUUCAAAUGUUAGCCCCAAAUUUAUGUGUCAUCUCCAACCCAAUACAUCCCACAAAACAGGCCCCAAUAGCGUACAACAUUAAAGUCUAUUAUAUAACUUCAACAGCAUAAUCAAAAAUCCCGAAAAUAAAUUAUAAAAUUAUAGUAAAAAAUAUAAAAAAAUAAUUAUUUAAUUUUGUAAUAAUGAAAUUUCAAUUUAAUGAUAAAAUUAAACAUUUUAAAACUUUUAAGAUUUUAAGUUUAACUACCUUAUUUUUCUCAUAUUUUUAUUAUCAUGGUUUGAGUGUUUCUAUUGUAACUGUCAUUAAAUAUGAGACUAAUUCACAAAUCGUCAUUUUUUCUAUAUCGGAGUUAGAUUGUAUUCUGACUUUUUAUUAAAAAAAUUGGAUAAAUCAAAUCUUAUACGUUAGAUCAAAGAGUAAAUUGUUAAAAAUUGACGUAGCUAGUUGAAUAAUCAGAUAGUUACAUGUGAUAUGCUAUGAUGUACAAAGACAAGUUUGUAACAGUAAAAAUAGAUAAAAAUUUUACUAAAAUGAUCAGUUUACUCUUUGAUCUAAUAUGUAAUGAUUGAUUUGCUCAUUUUUUUAAUUAAAAAGGACAAAUUAUAAUCCGACUCCUAAUACAAAAGUUGUUUUUCACAUUUAUGAUGUUUUAAAAUCUGUAUGGUCGGAAAAUUUUAAAGACAUGGCCAAGUAUAAAAGCAUUGAUUAAAUCCCGCAUGGAUUAAGCAUUGAAGACUGAGAAAACCUUUGGAACAUUGGUACUCGGCAUCAAUGGCAAUGCCAUGCAGUAUAAUAAUAUAAAAAACAAUGGAAACUCUUAGCUCAGACUGUAAACUGGCUUUAAGUAACUGUCGGAACCAAGACCAGAUAUUAAAGCAUAUGUUUUCAGACCAAAGGCUGAUAGUCUUAAUUUUCUACACGACAAAGUUAAAGCAUUAAUUAUGCUUAGGAAGCUUUAUGAUCAUCAAUUUCAUUACAAAUAUAACAUCAAUAUUGUCUCAUUAAUACCGAGGGAAAGAAACAUCACCUUUACUCCUGCUUACUGCAUUGAGCUUUAAAUGUCAAAUUCUAAUUAUUGACUUUUUAAAACAAAUUCUAAAACAAAUUCUAGUUAUUGACUUUUUAAAAUAAAAUUAAAUCAAAUUUUCAAAUUCAAAUACAUAAUAAAAUGUCUAACUACCACCUAUAAAAAGUAACCAAAUAAAGAUAAAAAAGAAAGAAAAAGAUGAUCUCCCACUCAUUGUAAUCAAAUGACCCCAACUUUUUACAAAGUAUGAUUAUGUCUCUUAUCAAUUCAAGAACAAUGACCAUAACAUGCAUGGACAUGGAUGUUUAUGUGAAUGAGGUACAGUCAAGAAAUGCAUUCCCUCAAAAGCCCAAACCCAAAAAAGAAAUUCUAUUAGGUCCUUAGUGAAUUCCACUAUCAAUGAACAGAUGAAUGAUGAUGAUGAUAUUAUACAGGGUCAUUCGAUAGAGUCUAUACCAUGUGGUCCAAGACCUUUGCAAAGGGUAUUUUAGUACUUUCAAAAAGAUAGUUGACUAAUCAUAGAUUAUGAAACAUGAAAUCAUGAUCAUAAUUGGCUGGCUUUGACAAAUUAUAUCACAACUAAAGUAAUGCACGUGCUCUCUGAAGUAAACAAAUUGAAUUAAGAUUAUAUUACAUGAAUAUAAUUAAUUUUUAAAUUUUUUUAAAAAAAUUAUAUUUCUAUAUUCAUGUAUCGAAUUCGAAAACUAUAUUUAAAAAAAUCCGAAAAAAUAUAAGUUUUAAUCCAAUAUUAAGGGUUGACUUGAAAUUUGUUUGUUUUGUAUAACUUUUUUUUGAAGAUGAAGCAAUAUUUGAUGUAGCCAUUUUUUUUAAAAAUUCAAUGUAACCCUACAAAUACUUGUUCAAACUUGUGACUAAGUUUUUUUUUUCAUGUUAUUAUAAAUUUAUAUUCAACGAUACUAUAUAAUUAAAAAAAAGUAGAUCUUAUAUAUUUAUAUUUUAUAUUUAUAUUAGGAAUGAUAAGAAUUGAUGUAAAUUGACAAUAUGAUUAGAAUUUUAAACCUUUAUUAAUACGUAUCUAAUUGGACUUUUACUUUUGAGGCAGAUUAUUUUUGGGGUUUCGUGCAUUGGUUCGGCUAUUGAGGAGAGGGAAUCCAAAGGCAAAAUGGCUUAUAUGUUUUGUUUUUUCCCUUUACCUAUUAUUUAUGGGAUAUUUUUUUAUCCAAUUUAUUCUCCAAUUAUAUUAUAAAACAUUCUUCAAAAACAUUACACAAAAUAAUAUUUUUGUUUAGACUUACAACCACUAGCUCAUUGGUCUUAAAGGUGAUUAUAGUUGGGGUCGAGAUUUAAUUGAAUAGUAUAACAACUUUCUUUGAUAAUAGUCUCCUAAUUGAUCAAGUGCAAUCGCCUUUUGUCAUUUGUUCCCCCCUUACAGCAAGUUGUGAUUGUUACUAUGAAAAUAAAAUAAAGAACACACAAAUUUUUAAGUGGAAACCCUUUCGGAAAAAAAUCACGGGCAGAAGAGAAGAAAAUUCACUAUUUUGAAUUCGAAUUAUUACAAGAAGAAUAGACUAUGUCUAUUUAUAGGCUUGUAAAGCCAUAUUCUAGUAAGACUGAAACACCUUAUUCUAAUCAAUAUCAAAUAGAUGGAAUUUAAUAAGGUUUAAAAAACCUUAUUCUAAAAUAAAAUAAAAGAAGUGUAAUUCUAUAUGGAUUCUUCUUUUAUUUUAUUUUACUACUGUAUUUUAUUUAAAUAAGGAUUUGAAUUAUUUAAUUCUAACAAUCUCCACAUUGACACGAAUUCUCAAUGAACAAGUUCUUCAUCGCGAACUCUCAACGAACAAGUUCUCCACCUCUUCUAUAAAACCCCUUAAGGGUUCAACUUCAACAAUGAACACCAACAAAGUCUAAGCAAUGUUCAAACUUCGUUAUAGCAAGUGACUUAGUCAUAAUAUCUGCAGGAUUUUCACGAGUACUAAUUUUGCUCACAACAAUAUCACCACGAGCAAUAAUAUCACGAACAAAAUGAUACUGAACAUCAAUGUGUUUUGUUCUCUCAUGAAACAUUUGAUCUUUUGUAAGAAAGAUGGCACUCUGACUGUCACAAAAUACUGCGCUGAUUUAAAGGUCUUCAUUGAGUUCACUAGAGGGUCCUUUCAACCAAAUAGCUUCUUUACAAGCCUCAGUAAUCGCCAUGUACUUAGCUUCAGUGGUAGAAAAAGUGGUUGUAGUUUGCAAAGUGGCUUUCCAACUGAUUGCACAAUCUCCAAUUGUAAAGACAUAACCUGUUAGAGACCUUCUUCUAUCAAGGUUUCCAGCAAAAUCAGCAUAAACAUACCCAAUGACUCCAUCUCUAGUUCUUCCAAACUGUAAGCAAAAAUCAGUAGUACCUCGUAAGUAUCUUAAUAUCCACUAAACUAUUUUCCAGUGUUCUUUACUGGGAUUCGCCAUGUAUCUACUAACUCACUGACUGCAUAUGAUAAAUUUGGACGUGAACAAACCAUAGCAUAUAUGAGAGAUCCCACUGCACUAGAGUAUGGUACAUGUGACAUGUACUCAAUCUCAUCAUCUGAUUGUGGAGACAAAGCCGAUGAAAGUCUAAAAUGGGCUGCUAAAGAAGUACUAACAGGCUUAGCACUCUGCAUAGUGAACCUGCAAAGAAGUUUCUCAAUGUGCCCCUUUUGACUUAGGUAUAAUUUACUUAAUUUUCUAUCUCUGAGAAUCUCCAUACCAAGUAUCUUCUUUGUUGGUCCUAAAUCUUUCAUCUUAAAUUCUUUAGUUAGUUGGGAUUUGACAUUUCUUAUAUCUUCUUUAUCUUUUGCUGCUAUCAACAUGUCAUCAACAUAAAGAAGUAGAUACAUAAAAGAAUCAUCACUGUUUUUCUUAAAGUAAACACAACUGUCAAAACUACUUCUUUUGGAAUCAUGAGAAGUCAUAAAGGAAUCAAACCUCUUGUACCACUAUCUUGGUGACUGUUUCAAAUCGUAAAGGGACUUUUUCAGCAAGCAAACAUAGUCUUUUUUUUUACUAAGCCUGUAAAACCCUCUGGUUGUUGCAUGUAAAUAUCCUCCUCAAGUUCUCCAUGCAAAAAUACAGUUUUUACAUCUAACUGCUCAAGCUCCAAAUCAUGUAUGACCACAAUACCAAGCAAAGCUCGAAUUGAACUAUGCUUAACAACUAGGGAGAACACAUUAUCUGUGAAGUCCACUCCUAGAAUUUGACUGUAACCCUUUGCAACAAGCCUUGAUUUAUAUCUGGGUUCUUCAACUCCUAGAGUCCCUUCUUUUUUUUUAAACAUCCAUUUACAACGAACAUUCUUUUUACCUUUAGGAAGUUUCACAAGAUCUCAUGUUCUAUUUUUGUGGAGUGAUUCCAUCUCCUAUUGCAUAGCAAACAUCCACUUUUUUGAGUCUUCACAGCUAACCGCCUCAGAAUAAUUAGAUGGCUCUUGAUUCGCAUCUAUAUCUUCAGCCACAUUUAUAGCAUAAGCAACUAGAUCAGCCUCGGCAUACUUCUUUGAAGGUUUAAUUUCUCUUCUAGUUCUAUUUUUGGUGAUAGAGUAUUGUGGUGAAGAAGCAACUCUAUUCUCAAUUUUUGUAUUGGCUUGAGGAGUCGACUCUGUAUUAAUCUGAUGCUUCACCUGCUUUUGAUUUUCUUUAUUGGAAGAGUCUUUAAGAGAUAAGUUAGGUAACAUAGCAGUUUCAUCAAAAAUAAUAUCUCUGCUAAUCACAACUUUUCUAUUUUCAGGACCCUAUAACUUUUACCCUUUUACACCAGUUUUAUAACCAAGAAAAACAUAUUUAAUUGAUCUCGGUUCCAAUUUUUCAUUAUCAACAUGAGCAUACGCAGGACACCCAAAGAUCUUUAAAUUAAAAUGAUUAGCAGGAUUACCACACCAUACCUCUUGUGAAGUCUUUUUCUCAAUGGCAAUGGAUGGGGAUUGGUUGAUCAAAAAACAUGCAGUAGAGGCUGCUUCGGCCCAAAACAACUUUGGAAAGUUGGCAUUUGACAACAUACAUCGAACCUUCUCCAUAAUCGUUCUGUUCAUUCGUUCUGCAAUGUCAUUUUGCUGUGGAGUAUGACGAACUAUCAAAUGUCUCACGAUCUCUUCUGACUUGCACAAUAUAUUAAAGUCAUCAGAACAGAACUCUAAGCCAUUGUCUAUGCAGAGGUAUUUUAUUUAUUUUCUCGUCUGUUUUUCAAUCAUAAGACUUAAAUGCGAAAAACACAUCGCUUUUCUAUUUUAAGAAGAACGCCCAAACUUUUCUGAAAAAAUCAUCAAUAAAGGUUAGCAUAUAAUUAGCUUCACCUCUCGAAGGCACUCUAGAUGGCCCCCACAGAUCAGAAUGAAUAUACUCCAACGUUCCCUUUGUGUUAUGGAUUCCUCUGGUGAAUCAAACUCUCUUUUGCUUCCAAAAAAUACAGUGCUCACAGAAAUUCAAUUUGCAAAUUCCUUGCCCAUCAAGAAGUCCUCUUUUGCUCAAUUCUGCCAUGUCAUUCUCACUCAUAUACUUUAGGCGCAUAUGUCAAAGUUUAGUAAUAUCAUCAUCUGACAAGGAAGAGGAAGCAAUAGCUGCAUCACCAGUAACAGUAGAACCCUACAAAAUAUAUAACUUGGCAGUCUUUUUCUGCCCUUUCAUCACAACAAGGGAACCUUUGAAAAUCUUUAAAACCUCACUUUCAGCUGUGUAUCUGUACCCUUUUGAAUCAAGAGUGCUCAACAAAAUUAAAUUUCUUUUCAAUUCUGGAACAUAUCGUACGUCACUAAGUGUUCUGACAACUCCAUCAAACAUCUUAACUUUAAUUGUUCCAACACCUGUAAUUUUACACAAACCAUUAUUUCCUAUCAAAACAACACAUUCAGACACUGUUUCGUAAGUUGUAAACCAAUCCCGAUUGGGACUCAUGUGGAAGGUGCAACCUGAAUCAAGUAUCCACUCUUCGCUCACUUUAGAAUUGUUGACUGAAGCGACUAGAAGUUCACCAUCGCUGUAGUAUUCUACAACAUCAGCUUCACCAGAAUUUUCUGGUUGUUUUUCCUUUUGAUUCACAGCCUCCCUUUAAAUCUUGUUCUGUAGCUUUUAGCACUCAGAUUUAAUGUGUCCUUUCUUCUUGCAGAAGUUACAAGUUUUACCUUUGUUUGAAGACUUUGAUCUACCUUUAGAUUUACUGCAAGAAUUCUAUUCUUGUGUCCUUCCACGAUCAUCAUCAGCAUUCCGAUCUUGUCUCUCACGAACAAUGAGACCCUCUCCCUGAGAUUCGGGUUUAACCACAAGAUGUUUCAUCUUAUCAUAUGAGGUUAAAGAAUCAUAAACCUCAUCAACUGUGAGAUACUCGUGGCUAUAUAAAAUCGUGUCUCUAAAUGUUGAAUAAGACGGGGGUAACGAACAAAGUAGAAUCAACCCUAGAUCUUCCUUGUUAUACUGAACCUCCAUGACCUCCAAGUUUGAGAGAAUUUCUUUAAACAUUGUUAAGUGUUCGUGUACAGACGCACCUUCCUCCAAACAAUGAGCAUAAAGACGCUGCUUCAUAUACAGCUUGCUUGUUAGAGUUUUCGACAUACAUAUUUGUUCUAACCUCUUCCAUAAUACAGUGAUGGUCUUUUCUUUCAUCACAUCUUGCAAAAUUUCGUUGGACAAAUGCAUAUGUAAUUGUGUUAACGCCUUUCGAUCCUUACGCUUCUUCUCUUCAUCUGUUAAUGUCGAAGGUAUCUUAUCUAUCCCUAGCAGGGCAUCCUUCAGAUCCAUCUGUGCAAGAACUACUUGCAUCGUAAUCUGCCACAAUGCAAAUCUAGUGUUGCGAUCCAACAGCGAAAUUUCAUACUUCAAAGACGCCAUUAUCGUGAUCGAGAUGAACAACCCGAAAGUUCUGAUACCAAUUUGUGAAAAUAAAAUAAAAUAGAAUAAAGAACACACAAAUUUUACGUGGAAACCCUUUCAAGAAAAACCACGGGUAGAGGAGAAAAAAAUUCACUAUCUCAAAUUCGAAUUAUUAUAAGAAGAAUAGACUAUGUCUAUUUAUAAGCUUAUAAAGCUAUUUUCUAGUAAGACUGAAACACCUUAUUCUAAUCAAUAUCAAAUAGAUAGAAUUUAAUAAGGUUUAAAAAACCUUAUUCUAAAAUAAAAUAAAAGAAGUGUGAUUCUACUUCUUUUAUUUUAUUUUAUCACUGUAUUUUAUUUAAAUAAGGAUUUGGGUCACUUAAUUCUAACGGUUACUAUAAUGGUAUGUAUGAGUGUGAGUCUUCCUAUCAGUGACACCUUUGGAGAAUUUGAUACUUUGACCUAACUCUGCCAUAAAAGAUUGUAGUACUCCUCUCUUAUAGUGAGGAUGGAUUUUUUUGUACUUGGCAAACAAAAUGACCAUCCAUUAAAUGCAAUUUCCUAUUAAUGUGACAUGAGCCCCCACUUCAACUAACAUAUUUAAUAAGGAUUCUAUAUCUAUGCAUUCAUUAAAUGCUGUAUAUUCAUAAUUCUUGGAAAAAUUUAGUGUCCUUUGUGAGUUUGAGUACAAAAAUAAAGAUUGGGAAAUAAUAUAAACUUAAUAUUAAAUAAAUUCAUUCAACUGUUGAGUUUCAGAAAUAUCACCCAUGAUGAAUAUAAAAAAAAAACUAAAUAGUCACUUUUAUUUAUCUCAGGUUAUAUUUUAGUCACUUAUGUUUAAAAUGUUACGUUUUAGUCACUUACGUUAUCCCAUUGUAACAUUUUAGUCACCGAGCUGUUAAUUGCCACCAACGGUGUAAUGGUAAGUUGAUUGACACGUUAAAUCAUCAUUUCAAACAAAAAAAUUAAGUUAAUUUGUACAAUCGGUCUCCAUAUUUUUUUCGUUUUGAGCUAUUUAAUUUUUUUCUUUUAUAUUUUUUAACUUUUUUUUCCAUUCUCUUUUGCUUCUUCCUCUAUUUUCGUCCAUUCUCCGUUUCACUUAACGUAAUUUUUCUAUGUUUUCCAUUGGUUAAAACUAGUCCCUAUACUUUUAUUUUUUGAACAAUUUAGUUUUUUUAAGUAAGACGAGCUUUUGGAAUAGUUUUAACAAAUGAAAAACAUAAAAAAAAACCACAUUAAAAGAAAUGAAGAAUAAAAGAAAACAGACGGAGAAGCAAAAGAGAAUGUAAAAAAAAAGUUACAAAAAUAAAAGAAAAAAAUUAAGUUGUUCAAAAUGAAAAAAAAAUGAUCAAUUGUAGAAUUUAAUCUAAAAAUUUCAUUUAAAAUGAUGAUUUAACGUGUCACGUUAGCUUACCGUUACACCGUUAACUAUAAUUAAUAGCUCAAUGACUAAAAUGUUGCAAUACAAUAAUGUAAGUGACUAAAAUGUUACAUUUCAAAUAUAAAUGAUUAAAAUGUAACUUAAGACAAACAAAAAAUAACUAUUUUAAUAAUUUAACUUAAAAAAAUGUGAACCAUCUUAAAUUUUAAAUAAUCAAAAUCAAAAUUUAAAUUUUUUAUUGAUUAUUUUUUUUCUAAAAGAAAGACAACUAGAAGUUUAUAGAAUUAAAUAUUUAUCCAACUAGAUGUGCCCUUAUAUGAUAGCAUGAGUUUUAUUCCAUUGCAAAUAUAUAUUUUUGUCUACUUUCAGAAAAGCUUAAAUGAUCAUUUAAUUUUAAGAUGGCCCAUAUUAAAAAAGAAAUUCAAAUAAACAUUCAUCACAUGCUGCAAAAGCAAGUAUUUUCUUUUAAUAUUAUUUUUCCUUUAAAUAAUUUAAUUUAAUUUUUGUCAAUUUUUAAAAUGAACAAUUAAAGAAGACUACUUACAAUAUUAAUGUUCUUUUCAUUAAUUGUACAUGUUUUUUUUAUUCAUAUAAUAAAUUUAGUUAGUAAAAUUUAAACAUUCUGUCAAUUUAGUUUUGAUUGAAUAAAUUUAGCUUAUAAUAUUUACGCAUUUUAUCAAUUUAGUAUUGCUUUAAUAAAUUUAGCCUAUAACAUUCAAAUAGAAUAUAUAAAUAUUAAGAGCUAAAUUUGUUAUUAUAUCAAUUAAAAAUAUAUUUAAUCGGCAAAAAAUAUUAAAGUUGUGAUUAAUUGUCUUUGGUUGCGAGGGGCAAAGCUAAAUUUUUUUAGGAUUUUAGUUGUAUAUUAUAUUAUAAGAGGGUUAAAUUAAAAUUUUAUCAUUUUUUUAAGUUAAAGUGUAAUUUUACCAAGUACUAAUUUAUAAAUUUAUAACUUUUAAAGGGCAAAAAUUAAAAAUUUUCAUUUUAAAGAGUUAGACCCUGCUAGCCCUUUGGUAACUAAUACAACACUGGUUAAUUGCUUACCUUCUAAAUUGACAAAAAUUAAAUUAUUUCAAAAUUUUAAAUAUCAAAUUGAGAAAUUUCUUACCUUUAUUAAAUUGGGUUACAAAUUGCUCAUAACUCAAAAUAGCAAAAUACUUGUGAUUGAACCAAAAACAUACCUUAUUUUAUGAUCUGAUCUCAUUUUAGAUAAUUAUUAUAGUGUCAACAAAACACUCAAUCUUUUUGCAUGUAUGAAAUACACCAAUUAGCCACAAAAAAGAAGAAGAAAGAAGCUUUUUUUUUUGUCCUUUUUAGGUCACUUUGUUUAGUAAGGUGUAAGUCAAAUAUAUAGUUUUAGGCAGAUAAAGCUAACAUUGUUUUGCAAUAGUAAAAUGGCUGAAAAUUUGUAUAUAAAAUAAAUGUAAAAGAAUCUGAUAUGGGGAAAGUUAAAAAUGAAAAAAACUGAAGGAUUUGGAAGAGGUGGACUUUUUAGUUUUGCUUUUAGUUGGACAGAAAAUAGCUUUUACAAGCCAGCUGAUUAUUUGACUUUUUUUAGCUAAGAGUUUUUGAAGAAAAGGUCUUUUCUUUAUAUAGGUCCCACCCACCACAAGAAAAAGAAAUUGAAUUUGUGAUAUUAAAGCUUUCAUUUUUUUAAUGUAUAAAGAAUUAAAAAAAAAGCAUCAAACAGAUAAAUAUUAGCACAGUUACAAACACUUCUCGUUUGAUUUGUUAAGGAGAGUGGUUAUCAUUAAAAAAAAAAUUGGGUAAGAUCUUGGAGAGAGAGAGUCAAUGAAAGAGAGAGAAAGACUGUGGUGGGUUAUCAUCAAUUCUUGUUUUUGUAUGUAUUAUUUUGGGUUUUUCACCUCUUCCCCAAAGUAAUUGUGCAUUUGAUGUAAAGGGGAUAGCUUUAAAAAAGGUUCCAAUUUUUAAGCUGUUUUAAUGGUGAGGUGGAUUUGUGUUUUGGAGAAGGGAUCUUUAUAAUCUUUGUUUUGUUCUUCUUGUUGAGCCUUUUUUGUUGGUUUCUUGAUUUUUCAAGUGUCUUCUUUGAAGAGAGUUUUUUGGUUGUUGAUUUUUGGGAUCUGGGUUUUUGGGUGUGUUCUAGCUUUCUAGGGCUUUCAAUUUAUUCACCCUUUGACUCAUUUAGUCUCUUCAUUGGGUUCCCUUCCAUUUUUAUUCUUUUGUCUUUCUUAUAAACAUGGGCUUUUGACUUUCUGGUAUACUUCCAAUUCUGGGUUCUUCUCUGUGGGUUUUGCACCUGAAAUAAAAGUUCAUGGGAUUCUCCUUUUCUCAUAUUAGUGCCUGAGAUUUGCUUUUUUGGGGGUUUUUUUAUGGGUUGUUUUCCUCUGAAUUGAAUCCCUUUUUUCUGAAUUUAGGGAUUUCUAUGGGUUUUUGUUUGAUGUGUUGAAAUCCCAUUUUUUGUGGCGAAUUUUAAGCUGGUUUUGUUUCUGGGUUUGUUUCAAGCUUUUACCGCUUUGAUGCAUCUUUCACUGUGGAAACCCAUAUCUCACUGUGCUGCUCUACUUUUAGACAAGAAGAGCAGCAAGAGAAGAGAUGGGUCUGAAUCAGCAGCUGAAAUAAAAAAGAACCCAUCAGUUCUUCGUAGAUUACACGAGAACAAGCUCAGGGAAGCUCUAGAAGAAGCAUCUGAAGAUGGGUCUUUGUUCAAAUCCCAAAACAUAGAACCUGAUUCAACAAAUCAAGAUGAGAGCUUGGGACGGUCAAGGUCCCUUGCUAGACUCCAUGCUCAACGUGAAUUCUUACGAGCCACUGCUUUAGCAGCUGAGCGUACAUUUGAGACUGAAGAUUCCAUCCCUGAUAUCCGUGAAGCUUUCAAUAAGUUCCUCACAAUGUACCCAAAAUACCAAUCAUCAGAAAAGGUUGAUCAGUUGAGGUCAGAUGAGUAUGCACAUUUGUCACCAAAGGUAUGCCUUGAUUAUUGUGGAUUUGGGCUUUUCUCUUAUGUUCAAACUUUGCAUUACUGGGAAUCUUCUACAUUUAGCUUGUCUGAGAUAACUGCGAACUUGAGUAACCAUGCGCUUUAUGGUGGUGCUGAGAAAGGUACUGUGGAAUAUGAUUUAAAGAGUAGGAUAAUGGAUUAUUUGAAUAUUCCUGAACAUGAGUAUGGACUUGUGUUUACUGUAAGUAGGGGAUCUGCGUUUAAGUUGUUGGCUGAUUCAUAUCCAUUUCAUACCAAUAAGAAAUUGUUGACCAUGUUUGAUUACGAGAGUCAAUCGGUGAAUUGGAUGGCUCAGAGUGCUAGGGAGAAGGGUGCCAAAGUUUAUAGUGCUUGGUUUAAAUGGCCAACUCUUAAGCUUUGUUCUACUGAUUUGAGAAAGCAGAUUUCAAAUAAAAAGAAGCGAAAGAAGGAUUCUGCUACUGGUCUUUUUGUUUUUCCGGUGCAGUCUCGAGUAACAGGGGCUAAGUAUUCGUAUCAGUGGAUGGCAUUGGCUCAACAGAACAACUGGCAUGUCUUGCUUGAUGCUGGCUCAUUGGGUCCCAAAGACAUGGAUUCGCUUGGUUUGUCCUUGUUUCGGCCAGAUUUCAUAAUCACAUCAUUCUAUAGGGUGUUUGGCUAUGAUCCAACUGGAUUUGGGUGCCUCCUUAUAAAAAAAUCAGUCAUGGGAAGCCUUCAGAACCAGUCUGGAUCUACUGGUUCUGGAAUGGUGAAGAUUACCCCCGAGUAUCCUCUCUAUCUGAGUGAUUCUGUAGAUGGUCUUGAUGGAUUGGGUGGAAUCGAGGACAAUGAAGUUGGUACAAAUGGUGAUAAGCCCUCUGACAACCGUCCAGGUACGCAGUUGCCUGCCUUUUCCGGUGUCUUCACAUCUUCUCAGGUUAGGGACGUAUUUGAGACAGAAAUGGAUCAAGAUAAUAGUUCUGAUAGAGAUGGAGCAAGCACCAUAUUUGAAGAAACUGAGAGCAUUUCUGUAGGAGAAGUGAUGAAAAGCCCUGUUUUCAGCGAAGAUGAGUCAUCAGACAACUCAUUCUGGAUUGAUUUGGGUCAUAGUCCUUUGGGGUCCGAUGGUGCAGGUCAGUUGAAUAAGCAGAAAAUAGCCUCCCCUUUGCCACCUUUUUGGUUUAGUGGCAGGAAGAACCACAAGCGGCCCUCUCCAAAGUCAACAUCAAAGAUAUAUGGCAGCCCGAUAUAUGACGAUAAAGAUGCGAACUUAGGGCAUGAUGAUCAUGUAUUAUCCUUUGAUGCUGCUGUUUUAUCAGUUUCACAAGAACUAGACCGCGUGAAGGAGAUCCCUGAAGAAGAACUGUUUGCUGGAACGAACAUCAGAUCACAAAAUCAAAAGAAGGCUUCUGAUCAUUCACAUGUUCCAGAAAUAGAGGAAGAACAAAGUACCAGCAAACCACUGGCUGUGGGGUCUGUAUCUGGUUCUGCUAUAAAUGGAGCUCGCCUCAAUAAUGGGCUAGCAAAUGGCUCAACUUCUGAAAUUUCCUCGGAGAUUAAAGAGAGUGCCAUUAGAAGAGAAACUGAAGGUGAAUUUAGGUUGUUGGGAAGGAGGGAAGGGAACAGAUAUAAUGGUGGCAGAUUUUUUGGGUUAGAAGAUGAAAAUCCUAGCAGGGGACAAAGGGUAUCCUUUAGCAUAGAGGACACCCGUAAAGAGCGCAUGAGUCAUACUUUAGAACCGGGAGAAGUGUCUGUGACCAGCCUCGAUGAUGAAGACUACACCAGCGAUGGAGAAUAUGGUGAUGGACAAGACUGGGACAGGAGGGAGCCUGAGAUAAUAUGUCGGCAUCUUGAUCAUGUUAAUAUGUUGGGGCUCAAUAAAACGACUCUUAGAUUACGGUUUUUAAUUAAUUGGCUUGUAACGUCAUUGCUGCAGCUUAAGUUACCUAAUCCAGAUGGAGAUAGCAGAGCGAAUCUUGUUUACAUUUACGGCCCGAAAAUAAAAUACGAAAGGGGUGCAGCUGUUGCAUUCAACGUGAGGGAUAGAAACAAGGGUCUCAUUCAUCCAGAGAUUGUACAGAAGUUGGCUGAAAGAGAAGGUAUCUCUCUUGGUAUUGGUUUUCUCAAUCACAUACGAAUAUUAGAUAGUCCGCGACAACAGCAAGGUGCUCUGAGCCUCGAGGAUACUACCUUGUGCAAACCCAUGGAAAAUGGGCGACAUGAUGGGAAAAGCGGGUUCAUAAGAGUUGAGGUUGUCACAGCAUCUCUCAGCUUCCUAACUAAUUUCGAGGACGUCUAUAAAUUGUGGGCUUUUGUGGCAAAGUUCCUUAACCCGUCAUUCAUCAGAGAGGGUACACUUCCAACAGUGGCCGAAGAAGAUCCAGAGACAUAAUGAAUCAAGCAAUUCAAAAACCAGUCGUGAAACAAUCCAGGAGUCUGACUGGAAGAUUCAGAAGACCCUAAAGAGGAUUUUGCAGGUACAUUAGUAUAUGCAUGGCUUGUUCUUCCUCAAGACUCUCUGAUGCAAGUGGGUGAAUUUGUUAAUUAAUGUUUGUUGUUGCUUGAAAAUGUCCAUUCUCUUUUGGAGGUUCUUGUAGAGUUGUUUUAGAAAAAAAAAAUGUACCAUUUUGGAAGUCACCAUGACCUCAAAGCAGAAACUAUAUGGACAACUGUUACCACUUGAAAGCAUUUCUGCUUUUGGUUUAUACAACAUUCCAUUUUCUUCUCUGUAAAAAAGUAGCAUCUAAUUUUACCUUCUCAUUUGCCUAGUUGGUUCUUGAACCAUUUUUACUUUUUACCAUAGUCAAGAUAGACAAGCUUUUUAAUGUGAGAAUAUCAAGAUAGACAAAGCAUGAAUAAACUUUGUUGGAAGUUAGAAAUUUUUGUUGGCUAUACCAAAUUAUGCUUUACUGUCAAAUUAGAAGCCAUGAAAGUGUAAGAAUAUCCAUGGUAGAUACUGGUGGGUGAAACACAUUGUUUAGAUUAGGUUGAAGUUCAAUAGAUCAUACAACUUGUCAAUAACAUAAACAAUCUUAAUAGAAUUGACAUUAAACAACAAACCCCAUCAUGAAACUGGAUUAAUUAGUCAAAGAAUCCAAGGGUGGACUGAAAAUCAAAGAGUCUGUAUUCGAUGUCCUUUUCCAACUCGUAAAUUAUCAAAGGUUGGGCCAUAGCCAUUGAGUUUUGUUCCCUAUGGAAUGUAAUGCUGAAGUUACAUAUCAAUAUCAUUAUGCUUUUCUUUCUUUUGGUUACUUAUUUUGGAUCCCACGUUCAACUUAGUGGGGUUUUUUUUAAUAAAGUUGGUAGGGUAUAAAAAAGGGGCACUGCAAACUUCUUUUCAUAUCCUGAAAUCAUGAUUCAAGACCUACUUUAAGUUAUAUUUUUUUCCAACAAUAUCAUCGUAUGGUAUCUUGUAGGCAAAGCUGUCUUGUACAGGGAACUUGUACGAGGUGGUUGAUGAUGGUGAAACAUUGACAAACUUCAUCUAAAUUGAAAAUUGCAGUUGGUCACCAGUUAAAAACCUGUUUGAUAUGGAAGAUUUUGCAUGUCAUCAUCUUUAUGAAGUAUUGUUAUUAUUGUUGUAUAUUAAUAAGGGAUAAGGUAUGUUAAGGGGGGAUCAACUCCUCACGGAAAAGUCUUUGAAGUGUCGUCCUUGGGGAUGCCAACCCAAUCCUUCAACAAUGUAAGGUAUUAUCUCUUAGGGAAGAGUUUUGCACCCUAUGUAGAGAGCAUGUACGUUUGACAGAGGGGGAGGUGCCUCGAUUGUAUGUGGACAUAUGACCACCCACUAAGAAACAAUGUGAGCACCUCGCCCUUGGUAGCUAGCUCAAGUGGUACCAUAUGCCCCAACAAAUUGUUGAAUAUUGGCAAUAUCCCACAUUAGGAAAAGAUAGAAAGGAGAAGAUUUUGGGAUGAUACAACCAAAGGGGGAGGGGUUCUAUAUAUAACAAACCAAACCCCCUCCCUUUCUAUCUUUUCCUAAUGUGGGAUAUUGCCAAUAUUCAACAAAUCUCCACCUUGGCGAUAUUCCACAUCUUCGAACAUCUUCUCAUAACACUAACUUCAAUAGUGUCUUCAAAUUUGCAACCAAUCGCCUUCUUCCCUUUUGGUAGUUGUGCCAGCUUCCACAUCUUGUUUUUCUCUAGAGAUUGCAUUUCUUCUUCCAUUGCACCUAACCAUCUAAACUCUGAAUGGCUUUGGUGUAAGUGGAUGGAAUAUUAUCAACAACUGGAAGUGCAUAAGCUACCAUGUCAGUGAAACGAGCAGGUUUCUGAAUUUCUCGUCUCUGCCUUCUGACUGCAAUUGGCUCUGAUUGCUGUUGAGGUUCUUGGGUAGAAACCUCUUCCUCAUCUGACUCUGCAUCUGCCAAUGAAGAAUCACUAGUGGUACCUUCUGCUGGAAUUACCACACUCUGCUCAAACUCCACCUGCUGCGGAGUACACUCCACCUGUUGCGAAGUACUACUCACUCCUUCUGGAUUUACCUUAUUCAACAUGGCAGAUUCAUGAAAGGUAACAUCCCUACUGAUUAUCGUCUUCUUUGCCUCUAGACACCACAAACGAUAUCCCUUAACACCAGCAUUGAAGCCCAUGAAUAGAGCCUUCUUUGCUCUUGGAUCUAACUUUGAUUCUUUCACAUGAUAAUAUGCUAUAGAACCAAAAAUGCGCAAGGUGUCAUAAUCAGUAGCAGGUUUUCCAUACCAUUUCUCCAAAGGAGUCUUGCCAUUUAUAGCAGAUGAUGGCAAAUGAUUGAUGAGGUGUUGAGCGUACGUCACAGCCUCAGUCCAAAACUUUCUAUCUAAUCCAGCAUUAGAUAACAUACAUCGAACUUUCUCCACAAGCGUUCGAUUCAUACGCUCUGCCACCCCAUUCUGUUGCGGUGUUCCACCUACGGUGAAGUGCCUUACUAUGCCACAAUCUUGGCAUAUCUUCAAGAAUGGAUCGCUUUUAUAUUCUCCACCGUUGUCUGAUCGGAGAACCUUAAUCUUCCUUCCUGUCUGAUUUUCAACUUUAGUUUUCCACUUAAGGAAAACUUCAAGCACCUCAUCUUUGUUCUUCAUAGGAAACACCCAAACUCGUCUGGAAAAAUCAUCAAUAAAGGUGACAAAAUAACGUCUUCCUCCAAGUGAUGGAGUCUUGGACGGUCCCCAUACAUCAAAAUGCACAUAAUCCAGAAUACCUUUAGUAUUGUGAAUCCCAGUGCCAAAUUUCACCCUUCGUUGUUUUCUCAGAACACAAUGCUCGCAAAAUUCAAGUUUGCAAGUCUUUGUACCUUUCAAUAAUCCUUGCUUGGCUAGAGUUUGCAAGGAUUUUUCACCAGCAUGGCCCAAACGCAUAUGCCACAGCUGUGUUGCCUCAACGUCCUUCUUGGUACUCGAAAUUGUUGCUGCUGUUGUCCUAACCACUGUACUACCUUGGUAGUAAUACAGAUUGUUCUUUCUUAUGCCUUUCAACAUCACCAAUGCUCCUGAAGUUGCUUUAAGAACUCCAUCUCGUAUUGUCACAACUAGGCCUUUAGAUUCUAACGACCCCAAAGAGAUGAGAUUCUUCUUCAACUUUGGGACAUAUCGUACAUCCCGCAAAAUUCUAGUAGAUCCAUCAUGACUCCUCAGUUUAAUUGAACCUAUCCCGGCUAUUUUACAUGUGUUAUCAUUACCCAUGUAAACAACCCCUUCAUCUAGUUUUUGAAAUUCAAAGAACCAUUCCCGAAUGGGACACAUAUGAUAGGAACAACCAGAAUCCAUGAUCCACUCAUCUGCAUAUAAUGUUGAAGAUGUCAUACUAAGAGAAAAGUCUGACUCUGCUUCACUAUUGCAUUCUGCAACAUUUGCAUCUUGCGGAGUCUUCCCUUUUUUCUUCAAUUUUGGACAAUCUUUCUUCCAAUGUCCUUUUUCUUUGCAAAAGGAACAUUCAUCUUUGGCAACAGCUCGACCUUUGGACUUUCUUCUCUUCCCAUUAGACUGACUUUGUUGACGACCUCUUGUUACCAAUGCUUCCACUGCUGCUUCACCUGAACCUUUCAACUUAUCCUUUCGGCGUAGUUCAUAGCUAUACAAUGCAGCAGUUACUUCAUUGAAAGUUACUUCCGAUUUUCCAUGAAGUAGAGUAGUUUCAAGGUACUCAAACUCCUCAGGAAGCGAUCCCAA